AUCUUCAAAUCAGAAAAGAUAUCGGCUUCUGGAAUCAAAAUUUCUAAGUAAUUAAAGUUGCUUUUUCGACUUCCUGCUUUUGGUUUGAUUAAUAUACAUGUAAUGUAUAUGUAAAGAAUUAAGUAGCCGAGAGUGCGAAGAUGGGUGAUUGGGGAGUAAGUAAUUACAAGAUAAUAUAAUAACAAAAAUAGACUCUUUUCUUUCAAAAUAUUAUUGUUUUAAUUUGGAAAUUUUGUUAUUUUUCUGAAACAUUUUUCAGUGCCUAAAAUAUUUUGUAAAUUAAAAGAAAAUUGAAGAUAUAUAAUCUUGACUCAAUAAAUAUAUUUCUUUAAUUUCCGGGCAUUGACAGUUUAAAAUUGAGGUUUUUAUUCUUAAAUUGAAGUUAUUUAUUGUUUCAAUCCAUUAAUUAAUAGAUGCUCGUAAUUAUUUACAAAUAAUGGUAAGAUGAUGGGAUCAUAUAUAUAACGAAAGGUCUUUAACUCCACAUUCAUAGACAAAAUUUUGUAACUUCGCAUUAUUUAACAAAAUAAUUAACAAAUUAAUAGUGAUUAUGGCUGAAGAUUAUGUUGAUUAGCCCAAGCGUACUAAACGGCAUGACUAUUUUAAAGGUUGAAAUUAUAAAUUUACAUGCAUUGCGCAUUUUAAUAAAUUAUGAUCCAAGAUCACUUGCUAGCUCCAAGAAUUAGUUAGCCAUUAUUUGGAGUUUGUUUUAGUAAAAGAUAAUCAAGAAGAGAAAGCUUAAUAAGCUAACAAGGAUAGACAAACUUAAUUAAUGUUAACACAUAGACAAGCAACAAUAUUUAUUUAUUUAUUUCCUUUUUCAGGAAUACACGAUACACGUAAAUAAACAAAUAAAAUCUCUUAUAUAUCUCAAGAGAUUUUAUCAGUUGAAAUGAACCAAACCGACAGUCACAUAAUUGACAGAACAAUUGGUAAAAGUACCCAUCACUUUAUUCAAUUAAACAUAACACAAAAGAGUAACAGUGUAAUUAACCAGUGUAGUUAGGGUUUCUCCCAUAUUGAGGGACAGCAAGAAGAUCAAGAUUGUCAUUCACAUUGUCAUCAUCAGUGGUACUGAGAAGAGGAAAUAGUAUAAAGAUGAUAAUCUCCGACCAAUCGUUAUUACCUAAAAAUUUCAUAACAGAAAAAUUAAUCAUAAAUAUAUUAAAAUAAGAAUUAUAAAUGAAAUUCAACUGAAAUUAGCCUAAAAACCUGCGCAGGUAGUUUCCAUAAUCUUCAACUGAAAAGCUAUUCACUUCGGAAUCAAAAUUACAAAGUAAUGAAGUUGCUUUUGAGAGUUCUUGAUUCUGGUUUGAUAUGAUACGCAUGGGGGGUAUAUAUAGAGAAUGAAGUAAACGAGAGUGCCAGGGUGGGUGGUUGGGGCGUAGGUAACUCCAAGACAAACUAUUAGCAAUAACAGUCUUUUUUUAAAAAACGUUAUUAAUUUAAUUUUGAAAAUGUGGCCAGAACUGCCAAAAUGUGGCUGUUUUCAGACACAAUUGUCAAUGGCUCACAUGAUGGCUACAGUAAUUUGUUUGUAUUUGCUUUGACACGACAAAUAUAUUCCUUUAAUUUGCGGGCAAUAACAGUUUUAGGUGAUUCUAGUAUUAGGUGCUGUAAUAUAUAUAUGUGUGUGUACAUAUUGUGUGUGUACAUAUAUCAAAGAUAAGUGAAUUUGUUAUCAUAUUGAAGUAAGGGAUGAGCUAAAAAAUUUAAAAGCACAAAUUUCAAUACAAUAGAGUGCAUUUUGUCCUACAGUAUAUUAAAAUUAAAAUUUUUAUUUUAUUUUACCUUAUUCCUUACUUUUAACAUGGUAAGAUUUUUUUUUUUUUUUUUGAAAUUGCUCUAUAUAGGAAAACUCUCAAGUGCAGAUGUCUGCACGAAUUUUCUUACGGAUUUGGUACUUCAUAAUGAUAUAAAAGUUUUUUAUAAAGCUGUUAAAGCUCAAAUGAGAGAGAGAGGGAGGCCAGACACCGGCAUAAUAAUUUGUGCAGAUUUGAGACUUCGUAAUGGUUGAAAAGGCCUUCGCGCCAUUGUUAGAUCCUGAAUUUGCAUGACGCCCCACAAGCAAAAAGGAUUCUGGAUUUAGUAUUGAUCUAGCCCAAAAUCUUGGACUUUAUUAAAGUUCAAAAAAUAUAUUAAGAAAUAUAAUUUAAUAAUAUAAUCAUUAUACUAUUAAAUCAUAUGUCUUAAUAGUUUUACCCAACUUUAACAAAAUUCAGGAUCCUAAAUUAGAACAUUUCUAAUAUACAUACAUACAUACAUACAGACAUACAACACACACACACACACACACAAAAAUUUUAAAGUGUAGGAAAAAUCGGAAAAACUUUAAAACCGUGAUGUUUAAUAGCAUUAUGAAAUUAAACUUUGAAAUCACACAAUAUUAAUUUUAAAACUUUCUUGUACUUUAAAAUCGUGGAUUGGAAAAUUUCCCUAUAUAUAUAUAUAUUCUCCUUUAUUUUCUGUGCAAUAACAGUUUAUUGGCAAUAAUUGUAAUGGUUAUAAUAAAUAUAUAAAUUCAAGUGGCUGACAGUCCAUACCUACUCAUGGAACCUUCCAUGGAUUAGGCUUAUUAAUUUGGGUUUGGAAAAUUUUUAUCUUAGAUCAAGUUUAUGAUUCAACAUCCUUAAAUUACACUUACUUUUACACUAUUUUCUGACCUCUGGAUAUAUAAUUAAUCAAUGGAUAGGAUUAGAUCUAAUUAAUUAUAUUGACUAUAUUUAUAAAUAAUUAAUAAUAUUGAUUUUUGGGCUUAGAUUUUUUUCUCUCCAAUUUACUCACUCCUUAAUUCAUUUUCUUUAAUCUCUCUUGUCAUCUUCUUCACGGUUUAACAGUAUAACAAAAGCUUGUUGCAGAGAAAAAUAGAAAAAUUACGAAUUGCUUCAAAAAAAUAGUCUUUUAUGCCUUUUUUUGUUUGAAGAAAAAAUAUUUGUUUUCAAUCUCUAUUAUUGUCAAAUUGAACACAGUGAAACCCUAGAAGGCAAAAGCUGCAUUUCGCAUGCGAGCUUGUAAAAAGUAAAAUGACAAAUAUUAUGUAAGCUUAAGCAGCCAUUAUUGAUCUAUAAUUUUAGUUGUCUAUGAAUUUUGGAUCAAUUAUUAUUGGCUUGAAUAAAAAUAAAUAAUUUUUGUUGAAAGAAUUUUUCCCCAUAACCACACUUGAAGAUCAAUCAUCGCAUAUGUGUAUUAGAAAAUCAAAACGUUCUUCAACUUCAAGUCAGCUGAUUUUACUGAAAUGUUUUUACAAAUGCAUGAAAAUAUUGUCAACAGGUUGGAAGUGAAACAAUUAAUGAGAAGACGAAACAAAACACAAAGUAAGAUAUAAGCAAAAAAAAAAAAAAGAAUAAAAACUAUGGAGGGAAAGUAAAUAAGUAGGAGAGAGAAAUGUUAAUUAAGAAUUACUAAUUAUACACCGUUCAUAAAUUAUUAUUAAAUAUCUAUGUUACUAAAUCAACCUAAUCCAAGUCACCCAUUAGUUACAAAUCUAAGGACUAAUAAAUGAUGUAAAAUUAAAUGUAAUUUUAAGGGGCCAUUGAUCCGUCCUCAAAUAUAAAAUAAGUGAAUCUGUUACCACAUCAAAGUAAAGCACAAGUUAAAAGACAAAAAACUAUAUAUUUCAAUAUAAUGCGAUUUAUUUUUCCCUUAGUGUAAUGAAAUCUGUAUUGUUUUUAUCUUUUACAUUGUCCUAUAGUUGUGAUCAUAGGAAGUUGGUUAGCAUCUCUUGCUCCCAAAUGUGUAUGUCUUGUGAGGGUGGUGGUUUGGGGUUGGGGAAUUUAUUUAGUCUUAAUUGUGUAGCUUCGCUCACUACUGCCUGGAGUAUUUUCACUACUCACUAAAUCUGAAGCUGAUUUGUUAGAGCUCGCUUGAAGUUGUCUCUUCACUACUCUUGGAUUCAGACACAUUGUCUGUCUUCUAUUGGGAUCCGUUUGAAGAUUGUAAUGCCUCAUUUGAUUGUGGGUUGCCAUUGGUAGAUUGGGAACGGCUUGUCAGUUAAUCUGUGGACAGAUCAUGUGAGGUUUACACAGUCUAUAUCACAAUUUAUCGGCAAUGAUAAUUUAAAUUUGUGUGCGCCAGUGAGUUCUUUAAUUUAGAAUGGCAAAUGAUAGAUCCCUUCUAUGUUUCGUGAGAUGUUCCCUCAACUUAUUCAUGGAAUUGUGGCCACUCUGUGAGUGCUGAGCUCCAUUUACAAGAUGCUGCGGCUUAUUUUGAGGAUUUUCAUCAAGUUCAGCCUUGGGGCUCUUUAAUUUGGGUGAUUUAUUCCUUCUCAGUUUUGUUGUGGCGUUUGUUAUAUAAUCAUUUGAAUACACAAGACAAUCUUUGGCGCCCUGAUUUUUUCAUUGUUUCUUGCUGCCCCCUCUGUAAGAAUGACGCAGAGAUGGCUUCUCAUUUGUUCCUCGGUUGUCCUUAUGCUCAGCAUCUUUGGCGUUGGCUUGUUGCCGCGUUCAGGUGGUGGUUCCCUGUUAUGGUGAUAUUCAGCAGCUUCGGGAUUUGAUCAAAUUUCCUUCCAUUGCUAUUUCUGAUGCUGCUCUUUGGCGUGCUGCCACCUUUACUAUGAUUUAUUAUGUUUGGAUGUCUCGCAAUAAGCUGCUCUUUGACAAUGAGUCUUGGCCUGUGUAGCGGGAACAAACUUUGGUGAUUGCUCAUUUGCAUGUUAUCAAGAAAUUCAUCCCUGGCACUUGUUGAUGUUCAUUACCUAUUCAUGCUCUUUUGUGUAUGCAUGCUUCAAUUUCUCGUUAUUGCCACCGUUUUUCAGAAUUCUACUACACCAUUAUGGAUUAAAAUAAAUACUGAUGGCAUGUCAAAGGGAAAUCCAGGCUCUGUGGCUUGUGGAUCUGUUUUCCGUGGCUUCAAUGGGGCUUUUCAUGGUGGUUUCUCUAUGCCUUCGGGGGUUCAGACUUCUUUCUUUCUUUCUUUUAUGUGCUAAAAUUUUAGCUAUUGUGAAAGCAAUAGAGAUUGUUGUUGUGAAGGUGUGGACUCAUGUCUAGAAUUUGAAAGUGAUUCUAGUGCUGCUCUUGCAUGCCUUUCCAAAAAAGGGUUUAAGCCGCCUUGGGGACUGCGAAUCCAAUGGCUCAACUGUAUGAAUGUGAUUUGUGGUAUUCACUUUUAUUCUUCUCAUAUUCAUCAUGGAGGUUAUUCAGUAGCAGAUAGUUUAGCUUCCUUGGGACGAUCCGCCAAACUCUGUUUUUUUUUUUUUUUUUUGAAAAGGAAUACUAACUUUCAUUCAAACAAAAGAGUUGAAUACAUUCAUAAUUUCGAUUGGAAAAGAACCCAACCAAACAAUAGCUUCUAAGUGAUCAAAGGCUAAUCUAUCCAAUGAGUGGGCAAUCGCAUUACAAGAUCAUGGUGUAUAAUGACAUUUAACCUUGCGGAGAUCCUUAAGCUUGUUUUGAAUCUCUGAAAUGACCCAGUAAAUCUCAUUCUUGCUACCCUUUUUGUUGUUAAUUAAAUCAGCCACCAUUUGAGAAUCAGUUUCAAUAAUUAAAGAGGAUAACCCUGCAUCCACAGCUGCUUGUAAACCCCAUCUUACUGCUUCAGCUUCCGCAUACGAUACAUUCCCAUGAAGCCUUGAAGUCUUAACAGCAGCAGCUAUGAUAUUCCCCGUUGCAUCUCUAAUCACUGCUCCCAAUCCUGAUAUAUUUUUUUCCUUGCUUAUGGCUGCAUCAACGUUCACCUUGAACCAGUUUUGCGGUGGAGGAAUCCAAGCUUUGGCUGUUUUCUUCUCUUUGUCAACUCCACAAGUCAGUCCUAAAGGCUUUACUCUCUAAUAAGCUUCUAACAAUGCUUCUGCCUUUGUUACUGACAUCUGAUAACCAGGCUUCUUUGCUUCAAAUAAGAGUUUAUUUGUUGCUGUCCAAAUAGUCCAGCAAGUGACAGCUAACAGCUCGAAAUCUGCUUUGUUCAUUUUCUUUGCUAGGUCUUGGAAAACCGUAAGCAUAUCUGGGCCUACCAUAUCCUUAAAGCUUUCUGCAAAUUUGGUGUGUUCCCAGGUUUUCUGGGCUGCCUUGCAUUCCACCAAAGCAUAAAAAAUGUUCUCAGUUCGGUUACCACAAAUUUGAUAGAAAGGCUCAUGCAGCACCUUUUUCCUCCAUAAGUUCACAGCUGUUGGAAGCAAAUUUUGAGUAUCUCUCCAUAGAAAGAUCUUGAUUUUUUCUGGGAUGUUGAGAGUCCAAAUGACUUUCCACUAGUUGCUGCUGUUCACUGAGCUGCUUGGGGUAUCUGGAACCUUCAGCUUGAGGGCUAUUUGGUAUCCGCUUUUGACAGGGUAUUCUCCUUCCCUGUCAUAAUGCCAGAUUACUUGGUCUCUGCUAUGAUUUAUGGGCAGGGGGAUAUUCAUAAUUGCAUCUGCAUCUUCCUACACAAAUUAUUCAUAAAGCAAGGCUUCUUUCCAUUGGUUAUCAUUUGUUAUUAGCUCAGAGACUGUAGUUUUACUUGGAAGUGUUGGUAAUGAGAUUGGUUUAAAAGUAAUUGGUUGAGAAAUCCAAAUAUCUUUGUAAACCAUCACCUAAUCACCCCCACCAAUCCUCCAUUUGUAGCCUUUGAGGAUAACUUCUCUACCCCAUAAAAUGCUCCUCCAGAUAUAAGAAGGUUUUGAGCCUACGGUUACUUCCAUGAAUUUCCCAUACUUGAAGUAUUUGGCUUGUAAAACUUUAGCCACCAGUGAUUUGGAAUUCUGAAUAAUCUGCCACCCUUGCUUCGCUACCAAUGCUUGAUUAAAGCUCGAGAAGUCCCUGAAACCCAAGCCACCACGACUUUUAGCUUGACUUAACUUAUACCAGCUAGCCCACUGUAUGGUUCGCUUAUCUUCUUUACUUCCCCACCAGUACCUAGCAAUUGCUUUCUGGAUGUCGUUACAAGUGCCCACUGGUAAUUUGAAAACACUCAUGGCAUAGACUAGCAACGCUCGUGCUACUGCUUUGAUGAGCACUUCUUUACCCCCACUCAAAUAACAUUUAUGCUCCCAACUUGAUAUUUUGCUCAGGAUCUUGAGCUUUAUCUCAUUGAAGAAGGAUUUCAUUUUUCACCCAAUCAUAGAAGGUAGCCCCAAGUACUUCUCAUGCUUUGAAAGUUUGAAACCACCUUGAGCUUGAAUAAGUUCUUAAUGGUCGAAAUUUGAUCAUCUUUCACAUUGUGGCUGAAAAAUAUUAAUGACUUGUCGAAAUUAAAAAUCUGCCCGGAAGCCGUAGCAUAGCAAUAAAAAAUUCCUUUGAGAUGCAUACAAUCCUCCUUCGAAGCUCUUGCAAAAAUGAGACUGUCAUCAGCGAAUAACAGAUGGGAAAUGGUGAUAUUGUUGCCGAAUUUCAGCCCAUGUAUCAGCCUCUGACUUUCAGCUUGCAUAAGGAGAUUUGAAAAAACCUCUGCACAUAAAAUGAACAAAUAUGGAGAGAGAGGACACCCUUGUCUUAGCCCUCUUUGAGGCUUAAUCAAACCCCUCGGCACACCAUUAAUGAGGACUGAGAAAGAUGUUAUGGUUAUGCAGCCCAUUAUCAGCUCUACCCACUUAUUAGAAAAGCCUAGCUUCAAUAUUGUUUUCUCUAAAAAUUGCCACUCCACCCGAUCAUAGGCUUUGCUUAUAUCAAGCUUUAAUGCCACUAACCCAUUCUUUUUCCCCUUACUAUGUCUGAUUUUAUGCAAGCAUUCAUACCCAAUAAUGAUAUUGUCAGUGAUUAAUCUAUUGGGAAUAAAAGCACUUUGUGCUGGGGAGAUAACAUGCUAAAGAAUAUGUUUCAACCGAUUAGCUAUGGCUUUUGUAAUAAUCAUAUAAAUAACAUUGCAUAGACUAAUGGGUCUGAAAUCAGUAACUUUGCUAGGCUUUCCUAUUUUCAUAAUUAAAGCAAUGUAGGUGUGAUUUAAUGGAGCAAUGGUAGCUUUCUCGUUAAGGAUAUGCAAACAGGUACUGACGACUCCUGUUUUGACUGACUGCCAAUGCCUUUGGAAGAAAACAGCAUGUAAUCCGUCCGGUCCCAGAGCUUUGGUGGGGCACAUCUGAGCUAAAGUCUCUGUUACCUCCUCAUCUGUAAAUGGUUGAUCAAGCUCAUCAUUCAUUGCAGCACUGACUUUUGGAUUUAACCACUUUAAAGCAGCUUCUAAUUGAUCUUGAGUUGGAUUCGAGGUAGAAAAUAAAUUUGCGAAGCAUCCGCCUUGGGGACUGCGAAUCCAAUCUCUGUUAAAAGUUGUCUUUCUGAAGAUGCUUUGGGGUUGCCUUAAUAUAGGUUUCGGUAGUCUUUUUUGUACAUCAUUUUUCUCUUCUUGCCUAAAUAUAGAUUUUUCAUCAUGCAAUAACAUUUUUAAAGCCAUUUACAUAAAAAAAAAGAAGGAACCGACAGUGUCAAGUGUGUGGGUAGUAGACGAAAAAUCAACGACUGAUGUUUAAUUUAGAUUAGUGGAAACAGAUUAACGCCUAUGGUUCAAUUGUGAGAAUAACGGGGGAGCUUUGAUUCAUGCAGAUUUGAUAAUUGGUGUGUAAAUUCUAAUGCUAUGGGUGUUAAAGUGCAAGUGUGCACAACAAGUAAUAUAAUAAUGAGUAUUCAAGAUCGUCUCUGUAGGGAUUGAUGUUAUCAGAUUUGCUACAAUAAUUCAGACAAGGCAGUUUAGAUUAAAUUAAAUUAAAAUAAUUAAAGAAACUAAUAAGCUAACUAAAUUAAAAAUGCAUCUUAAAUCUAACACAAAGAUGCAAUCAAUAAGAAAUGAGUAGUUGAGUGAUUAAACUCACUUAAUGGUUUUGACUAUUUUUCUAAUUAAGAACAUGCUGCUACAACAUUUACUACAGCACUGGGCAAAAUCCCUCAUGCAUCUUCAGUUGUCGCCUGUUGGAUAUCUUAUAUGCAAUCAAAAUUCCCAUUGCAAGGAGGAAUCGACAUUUAUCACUUCCCAUUAGAUAUAGCAUUAUGCAUUCUAGGUUCCAAUCACCCUGUAAGAGGAAUCCCUAUGUCUAGCUCUUCACUAAUCUUAUAUCAAGUAUGGCCCGUUUCAAAUUGAGAUUAACUCAACUUGGAAAACUCAAUCUAAAAUCAAGUAUUAUCUUAAUUUGUUCCACUAAGUUAGACAUUUUUUAGGCUCCUUCUAAGCUAGUAUCUACUAAAUGGGUGAUCAACCGAAAUAGGAAAUUAAAAAAAAUACAAAUAAGACAAAUUGUUGCAACAAACACAGAGUAACACGCAUAUGUCAGUCAAACAUCCAUUAAGAUCAUUUAUCACUCAAUCACAAUAAAAUUCAGUUCAUGAUUUGCAAAAGAAAAAUAAAUAAAAGAGUUUUAGCCAUCACAUACAUCCCCAUGAAUAAAUUAAAAAAAAAAAGAACAAGAAGGAUUGAUUUUCAAUGGAUCUCUGUGUUUUCUCCUCUAGUGCAGCCUUCAAUCUCUCUCUUGAAUUUUGUUUUUCUUUUGUUUCUUUGUAGUUUUUCUCCUUGGGUGACGGCUCUCCUCUUUUCUUUGUGUAUAUGCUCCUUUUAUAACUUAGAAUUAGGGCAACUAGAUGUCUAGGGCGCGUAUCUUCCAUUUUAGGAACUCUAUAUUACAAUCUUCUAAGUAUCUCACGCGAAAUCUUCUCUGUUAAUGCUCCAGAUUGCUACAACAACAAAGCUAUAGCAACAGUGCUACAGUAGUGGCUUCAACACCUAUACUGUUUCAGACUUGUUUCAAUUCUUCUAUAACCAUGUUUUAUCCUUAUUUUUGCAUGCCUAUUGUAACAGAAUUCCUCCUUUGAAAUUAGAGCUUCCGGUCACCUACAAUUAUGCUUAAGAUCUAAGCACACAAAUUAUUCUAAAACAACACAAUUUAUUAAAAAUAAACUAAAAUGGAUAUUCAUGCAAAAUAUAACUAAAAUGUAAUAAAAACAUGUCAUUUACUCUCUAAGUAAUCUUGAUUUAAAUCUAAAAGUGACAUGAUAACUCUCAUUUCAUAGUGUUAUCAAUAUCCUUUAUAUUAAUUAUCAAAGAAAUACAAUAUCUUUUAAUCACUUCAAGUGAUUCUAGUAUUUAUGUAAUCAAAUUUCGUAUUUAUGACAUUGCCGGUGAUAUUAUUCCCAUUUAAUUAUUAAUAAUAAUAUUUUUUUUAAAAGUCAAUGGUAACUGUUAGAAAAGAAAAAUAAUAAUAAUGUUUCAAUUUCCAAAUAAUAUUUUAAUUUUGCACUUCUCAAAAAAGGAAAUCUUAUUUUUAAUUAGAUGAAUGAAUAAAUCGCGAAUUCGCAUUAACAGGAUAUGAUCCAUGCUAUUGUUAACUGAACAAAUAAUGGUUAAAAAUAUAUUAACAGUUAUGAAAUGCCGAAUUUUACUUUAUUUCAUUCUGAUGUCACGGGAGAGUAUACACACACACACACUUUUAGGUGCAGAUGUCCUCAAACUUUCACGCGAAUUUAAAAUUUCCCAAUAAUGUGAAAUCUCUAUAUACAUAUAUACGUGUAUAUAUAUAUAUAUCUACAAAUAAAUACCACCUGUCAUACUAUUUAGAAAGUGUUCUUCUUGAAAAAAGCCGGUGCCUAUUGGCUUUGUAAAUAGGAUUAAAAGCUUGAACAAGAGUAAUGCUACUAGUCAUGGAAAAAAGGCCCCAAAAAAAUAAUUCAGCAGGUGGCACAAAACCUUUAAAAGCUCAGGUGAGUUAAAAUCAAGAGAAGACCCUUCUCUGACUCAAAACUCUUUAUUAGAGCCAUAACUGAUGGAUUCAAGAUUGUAAUGUCAAAUCUCAGAAAAGGCGUUUAAGGGCUACAGAAAAGCCAUUGAGGACAUCCUGCGUCCUCAAUGAAUUAGCCAAUGUUCGUUUUAUUCAUAAUCCUUCAUUUGCUGGUAUUUCGGAACCGAGGGUGGAUUUUGAUUCAAUCCCAAGUGGUUUCGGCAUCGUAUUCAUCUUUUUUCACUAGCGGUCACUGGUAAUCCUACUUCAAAACUUUGGGCUUUAAAGGAUGAAUCUAUUGCUAAUGACAGUGUUCUCUCCUGUACUGCUCAACCGGUGACAGAAAAGGUUCAGCUUGAGAAUUGUUGGUGCUGCUUGUCAUUUGUUUAUUCAAGUGUUCUCUUCAUAAAUAGACGCAUCUUACUAGCUGAGCUUCGGGAGAUUCAUGCUAACAAGUCAAUGUUAUUAGCUUAGGCUCUAAUCAAAGGGUUAUUAGAUCUCGCUCUAAUCAAACAACUCAAUGAGGAGAAUUUUGCUCUAAUCCAAACAAUUCAAUGAGAUUUUUAAUAACGCGUUUAAGCGAGAUUAGAGAGGGAGUUAUAAAAGAGGAGUUUUAUUAGAUAAUUGAAGAUGAGGUUAUUAAAACAAUAAGAGACCUCUCUGUUGUUUCUUCCUAGCUCUUUGUUGAGAGCCCCUUUGUAACCAAAAACAAAAAGAGACUUCUCUAUUUAUAAUACAGGAAACUUACUCCCCUGGAUUAACUUAUAAAGGAAAAUUAAAUCACACUACUAAAGAAAUAGUCUUUAAGUUUAAUGAAAGUGAAGGAGGGUAUGAAGAUGAACAGAAAAAAACAGCUCUCUAGCAACUUGCGGUACCGAUUGAAGAAAAGGGAAACAAAACAAUGAUUGAAGAGUUAACGUCCGUUUGUUAAUUUUAGAAUUUUAGAUCACCCGAAAUGAUAAGUUUUCAUGUUUAAGAAUAGAUCAAAUUCUAUCCAUAAAAUUAUUUAAUUUCCAUUUAUCAAAAUCUCCUAUAAAUCUUGGGAAAGAUUAGAUGAGUAAUUUCUGGCAAUCUUUGUGCUUGUUUCUCUAACCAGGUUCCCGGCAAUGCUUCAGAAAAUGUACCAAAAUCACGAUCAUCAAAUCAUGUGAUUCCAUCCCUAGAGGCGACUAAAUUUAUCUCAUGAGAGCUAUUCUCUUCAUUUGGUUUCAUUGUGCCCUAUUGUCAAUGGAGAAACUGAAGCAAUCUUUUUGAUUAAUCAUAUUAAUAUCCCGAGUGCGGACGAACAUAGUCCUUAAACAGAUACCUAAUCAAUUGCUUAAGGUCAUUAUUUAUAGAGUUUGCAUUUUAUGGCAAGUCUAGUUAAAUUGGAAGUUUAUUUAUUGCAUAUCUUGUAAUAGGGAUUAAUUUAUUAAUUCCCUAAUUUAGUGAGAUUCCAAUUUAUUAGGAAUAUUUGUUUCCUAAUUUAAUUAGAUGUCUAAUUUAGCAAGUUAAUUAAUCGUGGGAUUCUAUAAUUGGCAUAUGAGAUGUAUUUAGAGUAAGAAGUUGGUUCAAACAGGAAGUCAUUAAAUGCUCUAGAUAUUUCUUGAGAGACAAGCAAGGCAAGAAGAUCAAAUUUAUUCCUAUUCAGAUUCAUAGGAAUUAUAAGAGGAAAGAAACUCUUAUUUGGAAAGAAUCCAAGUCUUUUAAGACUUGUUAUUUUGGUGAAACUCUAGUGCCUAUAUAAAGAGAGGUAUUUCACAAUUGAAGUUUGAUUGCACAACACAGAGCAUAAAGUAAAUAAGCAAAAUUCAGCCUCCUCCCUAGAGAAUCCGGAUUUGCGCAUAAUGUUGGGUUGAUUUGUUUUCUUAUCUGCUUUUCAUCCCUGUGGAGAGUCUACGUGGAUCUUGGAUCACUAGACGCUGAAGAAUUGAAGAAUUGCUAUUGAUCACUUUACGAAAUGCCUUGAGGAUCAUAAAUCAAGAGGGGUAGCAAUUAUUCAAGAGAAGCAGAUUCGGUCUAAGGUUGAGUAAACUGUAUGGUAAUAAACUAUAAGUGAGAGUCUUAAGUUUGGUAAAUCCAUAGGUUGUAACAUCUCAACUUAGUGAAUUGCUUUUCAUCUGGGCGUGGCCUCAUGGAUGUAGAAUUGAUUAAUCCGAACCACGUAAAAAUCUCUAUGUCAUUUAUUUUCUACAUUUUAUUGUGUUUAUGGAAAAUUAAUAUUUUUGACGUGGAUGAACAGUAAUCAUAAAUAGUAAUCACGAACAGUAACGGUGAACAAUUUUUCGAAAAAUUAAUUAAGUUGUUAAUUUUUUGUUUUUAAUUACCUACAUCUAUUUGUAAUAGAUCUAAAUUCCUUUCACAAUUGAUUUGAAAAGUUCUCUGUAAGAAAUUGCUGGAAUUUUUCUAUGGGUUCUCAUAAAAUGCAUUUAUAUUUUGGCAGGCUUUAAAAGUGUGCAACUUUUAUUUUAGGCACCUAAGAUGUGUCAUACUCAAUAUGUUGAUUGUGAUCAAAAUCAUUAGAUAUAUUUCCCUUAAUUCUGAAAAUGCAAGAUAUGAUCCAUUAAUCUGUUCGUGAUUGUUCUUUGUCUUUUGCUUUUCCUGUUAUCUUACGUCCUUGGGAUUUAUGAUUGCCAUCUUUUUGUUAUUUUUUAUUAAAUGUCUGUUGCUAUCACUAUGGAUGAAAUUUUAUAGUAGAAAAUUAUCCAAGGAUUUGGUGGUGAAGGUUGGAUUCUCUUUUUAAGUUUUAAUCCAGCACUUCCAUAUUCAACAAAUUCAAAAUAUUAUGCACAGGCCAUAAUAAUUUAAUAAAUAAUUAUUAUUUACGAUGAAAACAAAUUAACAGCCAAGUUAUUUUCGUGUUAUCAUUCAUUUUAUUUAUUUUUUAUUUUUGGUUUUGACCACGAGGUAUCCUGGGGAGGGCCCCAACUGUACGAGGCACAUUUAAGCCCGUACCACAACCCAGACUAUAAGUCCCCGCUCAAACCGAGAGGCACAGGUUCUCCCAACAAAGGUGACUUCCCUGCGACUCGAACUGGGGAGCAAACUCAGUCAAGCCACUUAAGGGGACUACAUUGCCAGUGGAGCCAACACUUUGUUGGUCUAGAUUGUGUCAAUAUUUGAGUUCAUUAAUACGGGGGAGUUCUUUAUUAAACCUGAUAUUGAUACAAUUCUACUAAUUAAUACUCGAUAAACUGGUAGCCUCAAUUAAAUAAUAGUUUUAUUGGUCCUCACUUAUGGUCAACGUGGUAAAUUAAUAAUUCGAUAAAUUUUCAAAAUAAUAAAUUUUUAAAAAAAAAUCAUAUUUCUCGUCGGACCCACAUACUAUAUGAAAUAAUAAUGAUUUAGUUUGUACCUAAAUCCAUAUAAAAUGUCUAUAUGGCUCUCAUAAAAUAUGUUCUCAGGACCUAUUGGUAAUGUUGUACUUUUAAAAUAAUUGAUAUUAGUUGUAUUAAAAAAAUAAUCAGCUAUAAAGAAACUCAGUUAGACACUUGGUAAAAAUUUAUUUUUAAAACCACUAUGAGCUUUAAAAGAUGUUAUAUGUGUUUAGUAAAUCUUACUAUUAUACUGUUGUAAGAAUGUAAAUAACUAAAAUAUAUAUAAUGUUGAAUAAAAUUUAUUUUCACAUUUAUAAAUAUGUGUAUGAAAUUGUUUUAUUGUAUAUAUAAUAAUUGAUAAUUAAAAUGAAUAUUUUGUGUUUUUAUUUUUUUAUUAUCUCAAUUACCAAAUAAUAAUCUUUUUUAAAAAUUAAUGAUUUUAUCUUCUAAUUAAUAAAUAUAAUUUUGGAUUUUUAUGACAUAUAAAUAUAAGAGGAAAUAUAUGAAAUUGUAUUAUGUACAAAAGUGAUUCUUAAAAUUAGAUUUGAAAAGUUACUCUUUACUACCAAAAGUAAUCCCAAACAGGCCCUCAGUAUUGUUUGUUUCUUCUUGAAAUUGAUUUUGACUUCGACCUCAUAUCUAACUUUUUGUAGUGCAAAAGAAAAUUUUAGUUGGUAUUGUCAUUAGCAACAAGAAAUUAUUUAUUGUUAGUACAGCUUUGAGUGCUUAUUUAUAUGGGGAUGGAUUCUAUCGUAGAACUAUCUUUAACAUGAAAAAAUAAAAUCUCUACAAUAAUCCAUAUUACUGCUAUUGUAAGACAACUCUCUAAUAUUUAAAUAAAAUAUAAUAAAUAGAAAAUAAAGUAAAAUUAAUGCUGUAAAUGUGAUCAUAUUUUAUAAAUAAAGAAUAUCUUCAUAAAUUAAUAAUUGAUCAACUUAUUGAAGUUUGACUGUAUUUUGGUAAUCGCAAAUGUCACAAAUACGAAACUUGUUAACCUAAAAUAUUGUCAUAUUGACUUUGGUUUACAACACCUAAUACGAGACAAACACGUAAAGCAAUAUUGAAAGAGAUUUUAUUUGACUAUUUGCUUAACAAUUACUAUAAAAGGAUAUUAAAUCUGAAUGAACGAAUUAAGAAGCAUAUCUUAAUCUAUGAUUGUAAUCUAGCUGAUUUCGAAACUGAUCUUGAAUAACGAUUCAUGCUAGCUGACCGUGAUCGAUCUCGAGCCAGGACAAUUAAUCUGUUUUAUAUAAAUAAUAUAGUUAUUGCCGACAAACUAUUAUUCCCAGCAAAUUAAAGGAAUACAUAUGUAUCGAGUCAAAGACUAAUACAUUAUCUUCAAUUAUCGUUUAAUUAGUUACAAAUUAUUGUCUCCAUGAGAUGUGGGGAGAUUUCCAAUUUUUCUUAUUGAAAUUAAUAUAUACCACUUACCUGCUAUUAUUUUCAUGAUCGUCAAUACCCCCAGACAGCAUAAUUUUAUGGUAUUUCCCUUAUGUUCAUAUACACUUUUAUUUCAUAUUUAUCAAUUAAAUAACUCAUAUAAAUGGAAAUUAAAUAAAAAAAUUUAAGUAUUAAAAAUAAGAAAUAUAUGUUCAAUGUGAAUAAAAAUUAAUAAUAGGAUAUUUUUCUUGUACUUUUUUAUUUUUUUAAAUUUUUUGUUAUAAUAAGUAUAUAUUUUAUAAUAAAUAUAUAACAAAAAGUAUGAGAAAAAUAUCUUAUUAUUAAUUUUUUAUUCACAUCAAAAUAUAUAUUUCUUAUUUUUAAUACUUAAAUAUUUUAUUUUAGUUUUCUUUUAUAUGAUUUAUUUAAUUUAUGAUAAAUAUAAAUAAAAGUAUAUUUAAAAAUGAGGGUAAUACUGUUAAAUUAUGUUGCGAAGAUGGUUAUUAAUUAUUAUGAAAAUAGUAGGGGUAAAUGGUACAUAUUGAUCUCUUUUUUAUUUAAAAAAAUAUAACAAAAAAGAGUAACACUACAAUUAACUUGUAUGAUUGGGAUUUCUCUUGUAUUGAAGAACAACUAGAAGAUUAAAAUUGUCAUUAGCAAAUGUCAUCAUCAGCAGUACUAACAAGAAGAAAUAGUAGGACGAUCCCCUCCGACCAAUUGUUAUUACCUGAAAAUUUCAUGGCAGAAAAAUUAAUAUAAAUAUAUUAAAAUAAGAAUUAUAAAUGAUAUUCAACUGAAUGCGCAGGUAGUUUCCAUAAUCUUCAAAUCAUAAAAUAUAUCUACUUUCGGAAUCAAAAUUACAAUGUAAUGAAGUUGCUUAUAUGAGUUCUUGAUUAUGGUUUGAUAUAAUUGUUGUGCGCGGAAUGCGGAAUUAAGCGCAUCAAAUAAUUACAGAAAAAUAAAGGACACAAAAUUUAACAUGAUUCGACAAUAUGCCUACGUCCACGAGAGCAUGAGAAAAAUAAUUGUAUUACUAACAAUUAUUAAAGUACAAUAUUUGAGUAACCAAUCUCACUUCCCAUAAACUCAAAUAUACCCAUUACUCUCACACUCUACAGGAAAGAUAAAUUUCUCGGACACAUUUCUCUUACUUCUCUCAAAAGCUUAGAAACUUAGAAACUAAACAAAUUUAGAGAUGAUCUACAAAUGAAUAAUGCAUCUCUAUUUAUAGCCAAAAUCGUUGCACUAUUGCACCAAACUCUUGGUCAAAUUCCCAAUUAAAUCUGCAACUAAAUUCUUCAAUAUUGACAAACACAUGCAUGCAGUGCCAACUUCCUCCAAUUUGUCAAUUUAUCAAUUAUGCUGGCUUACCUUUUCUUUUUCAACCAAUUUAAACAACUCACCAUAGUCUUUAACUUUUCAACAAUAAUAGCAUGUGGUGUAUGUACAAAGAAUGAAGUAGCCGAGAGUGCCAAGGUGGGUGAUUGGAGCGCAGGUAACUGCAGGACAAACUAUUAGCAACGAUAGUCUUUUGUUUCAAAAUAUUAUUAAUUUAAUUUGGAGAAUGUGGCCAAAACUGCAAAAAUGUGGUUGUUUUCAGAAACAAUUUUCAAUGGCUCACAUGAUGGCUACAAAAAUUUGUAAAUUAAUACAUAUACAAUAUGGUCUUUGACCUGAUAUCCUUUAAUUUGCGGGCAAUAACAGUUUUAAGUGAUUACGUGAUUCAGAUUGGAUGGACCUUUGCGGCUCCAAUUGCUGAAAAUUUUUAUCUCGCUCAGUAUUGGAUCACACGCCAUUGAUUAUUUCUUGCUUUUGCAAUUCCAGCAGCGGCCCUAAGCCGUUCAAAUUUCAUUCAAUGUGGCUAAAGCAUGCUAGUUUUCGACCCUAAUUAGUUUCAAAGACUUGGAGCUCUAUGGAGACUCCUGGAUCGAUGCCCUAUGUUUAUUUAAGCCAAGUUGAAACACCUUAGGGGGUUUUUACAUACUUGGAAAUUCGGAACCUAUUAAUGUUCAUGACAAUGUGAACGAAUUCAUGAACCGCUUGUCUUCAAUUCAGAAUGAAAUUCCAGCUAAUGAUUUGUUAAGAUUCUACAUCGAUUACGUAUGGGAAUGGCUGGUAGUUUAUUAACACAAAAGCACCCUCCCCUUAAUUACAAGCUGAUUUUAAAGUGAGUUAUCGUAGCAUGUUUUAUCAGAAAAUUUCUCUAUAGCUGAAAUUUAGGCUAAUCGUUGUUAAUCUUCAUAAUUUUUAUAUAUGUUUAAUAGGGAAAAUUCAAAUACAAUUAAUUAAAAAUGCCAUUCACGAUCUGCCCUAUUUUUUGUUUUUUUAAAUGUUGAAGUCCUGUCUGCGGCUGCAGUAUCUUUAGAUUUGCUAUGUAGGGAGUGGAAUGAAAGUGAAGAUGGCUAUGAGAUGAACAGAAACAAACAGAUCUCUUGCGACUUUCGGUGACGAUUGAAGAAAGGUAAGCAAAACAACAAUUAAAGAGUUAACGUCUGUUUGUUAGUUGUUAAUUUUAGAGUUUUAGUUAGCCAAAAUGUCGAGCUUUUGUGUUUAAUGAGGAAAAUUAAGAAUAGUUGUAGUUCUAUCCAUAAAAUUAUUUAUUUACCAUUUGUAGAAAUCUCCCACAGAUCUUAGGAAAGAUUAGAUGAAUUAUUUUAGCAGGCUUUUUGCUUGUUUUCUCUAACCAUGCUCCGGGCAAUGGUCCAGAAAAUGUACCACAAUCACAAUCAUCAAGUCAUCAGAUUCCAUCCGAAGAUGUGACUAAACUUAUUUGACUAUUUGCUUACGUUGCUUUUGCGAGUUCUUGCUUCUGGUUUGAUAUAAUAUGCAUGUAAUGAAUAUGUAGAGAAUUAUGUAGCCGAGAGUGCCUAGGUGGGUGAUAGGGGAGUAGGUAGUUACAAGAUAAUCUAAUAGCAUAAAAAGAGUCUUUUCUUUCAAAAUAUUAUUAUUUAAUUUGAAAAUUUUGACUUUUUUCUGAAACAUCUUUCAAUGCCUACAAUAAUUUGUAAAUUAAAGGCAAAUAGAAGAUAUAUAAUCUUUGACUUGAUAAAUAUUUUCCUUUAGUUUCCGGGCGGUAACAGUUUAAAAUUGAAUUUUUUUUUAGUAAAUGACACUGAAUUUUAUUAAGGAAAAAAACAAGAAGAAAGAAUACAAAAACAUUCAUUUGAAAGCAUCGUCAUGCAAACUCUGACCAAUUGAAACAGGCGGAUAUCCCACCAAUCAUAAGCAUUAAGAAGUAACCCCAAAUUAAUAAGACUAUCAGCCACUGAAUUCUCCACUCUGUAGAUGUGUGAACUAACAAAGUGUAUUCCAUGAACGAAUCGCAAAUAAUUUAACCAUCUAAUACGCAGACACCAAAGCGGCUUGAAUUUUUGUACUUGCAAGACAAGCUAAAUUGAAGUUAUUUGACGUUUCAAUACACUGAUUAAUAGACCGUCUACAUCAUCAUUGACAAAUAAUGUUCAGAUGAUAAGACCAUAUAUAUGAUGAGAGGUUUUUGACUCCACAUUCAAAUAAUUUUGUAACUUCGCAUUAUUUAAUAAAAUAAUUAACAAACUGAUAGUGAUUAUGGUUGAAGAUCAUGUUGAUAAGCCUAAGCCUACUAAACAGCAUGGCUAUUUUAAAGGUUGAAAUUAUAAGUUUACAUUCUGUAUUUUAAUAAAUUAUGAUCCAGGAUCACUUGAUAGCUACAAGAAUUAGUUAAACAUUAUGUGGAGUCUGUUUUAUAGAAAAUAUAUAUAUAUAUUCAAGAAGAGAGUUGAAUUAAGCUGACAAUGAUAGACUAAGUUAAUCAAUGUUAACACAUUGACAUGCAACAAUAUUUAUUUGCUUAUUUCCUUUUCUAGGAAAAUACGAUACAUGUAAAUUAAAAAAUCUCAUGAGAUAUACAAGAGAUCUUAUCAGUUGAAUUGAACCAAACCAACAGUCACAUAAUAGAACCCAUCACUUUAUUCAAUUAAGCAUAACACAAAAAGGUAACAUCGUAAUUAACCAGUGUGGUUAGGGUUUCUCCCAUAUUGAGGGACAACAAGAAAAUCAAGAUUGUCAUUCACAUUGUCGUCAUUAAUAAUACUGACAAGAGGAAAUAGUAGGAUGAUCCCCUCCGACCAAUUGUUAUUAUAUGAAAAUUUCAUAGCAGAAAAAUUAAUCAUAAAUAUAUUAAAAUAAGAAUUAUAAAUGAUAUAUUCAACUGAAAUUGGCCUAAAAACCUGCGCAGCUAAUUUCCAUAAUCUUCAAGUCAGAAAAGAUAUCCACUUCCAGAAAAAUUACAAAGUAAUGAAGUUACUUUUACGAGUUCUUGAUUCUGGUUUGAUAUAAUACGCAUGUGGAUUAUAUAAAGAGAAUGAAGUAGCCGAGAGUGCCAAGGUGGGUGAUUUGGGCGUAGGUAAUUCCAAGACAAACCAUUAGCAAUAAUAGAGUCUUUUCUUUCAAAAUAUUAUUAAAUUAAUCUGAAAAAUGUGGCCAGAACUGCCAAAAUGUGGUUGUUUACAUAAACAAUUUUUAAUGGCUCACAUGAUGGCUAACAAUAUUUGAGAUGCUUGUAUAUGGUGAAAAUAGUAAUUGUUUUUGUCUCUUAAUUCAAUUGCUUGAAUUUUACAAAUAUAUAAAGACGUUCAAGGUGCUAUAAUAGGAAAGACGAGAUGUUGGAAAUCCUUUUGCUAUGGCGUACAAACUACCAUAUUUGUUGCUUGUGACUUGUCCUUAUCAGCCCCCCUCAAGCUAGGCAGUCACAUGUGAUGAACGCUUAGCUUGGUUCGUAGUAUAAGAAAUUGAUGUUUCGCCAAAGGUUUUACAAGAGUGUCUGCAAUCUGAAGAUGAGAAGGCACAUAUCGUGUAAAUAAUGACCCUUUAGCAACCUUUUCACUAACAAAAUGCACGUCAAGCUCAAUAUGUUUCACUCUAGCAUGAAACACUGUUUUCUUAGUCAUAUGGACUGCACUCAUAUUGUCAUAGAGAAGUGUGGGUGCUUUCGGAAUACAUAACCCAAUGUCGUUAAGCAGAUAUGUGAGCCAUGUUAACUCGGCAGCGGCAGAGGCCAUGGACCUAUAUUCGGCUUCGACGCUUGAGCGAGAGACUGUGUGUUGUUUCUUCGAGCUCCAAGAGAUACAAUUUCUUCCAAGAUAAAUGCAGAAUCCUGUUGUACUUCGUCUUGUUAUCGACAUCCAGCCCAAUCGGAAUCCGAAAAGGCAUAGAGCUUGAGAGAGCUUUGAGACAAAAAUCUAAGGCCAAAGUCAAGGGUACCUUUAAGGUAACGAAGGAUCCUUUUCACUUCUUUGAGAUUGGCUUUGUUGGGGCUUGGAAAUGUUGAUAGACUCGAUUGACAGCGAAUGUGAUAUCGGGCCUUGUGCAGGUGAGAUAUUGAAGGCUUCCAACAAGGCCUCUAUAUUCAGUAGCAUCCACAGGUUCGUCAUUAUCAAUCCUGCAUUCGUGCCUUGGUAAGACGGUCUUUAGUGUACUUUGCUUGAGAUAGAAAGAUGCCAUGUGUGAAUUGUUGAACUUCAAUGCCUAGGAAGUAAUGUAGGUUGCCAAGAUCUUUUAAAGCAAACUUUGAGCUCAGAUUGUUGAUGAUUGAUUGAAUUUCCUUCUCAUUAUUUCCUGUAAUUAUCACAUCAUCAACAUAAAUUAAUAUAAGUAUACGAAUAGAUUUGUUAUUAAAUAUAAAUAAAGAGAUAUCAGCUUUGCUGCUAGAAAAUCCAAGUGAAAUUAAGGCUUGAGAAAGACACUCGAACCACACUCUAGGUUCCUAUUUUAGGCCAUAAAGUGAUUUUUGAAGUUUGCAAACAUAUGAUGGAUGAUGUGAAUUACAAAACCCGGGAGGCUGCUCCAUGUAGACAGUCUCCUUUAAUAGUCCAUGAAGAAAAGCGUUGCGAACAUCCAGCUGCUUGAUAAGCCAUUUUGAGCUCACAUCAAUUGCGAGGAUAAGGCAAAUAUUUGUGGUCUUUAUAACGAGACUGAAGGUUUCAUCGAAGUCGACUCCAGGAACCUGUGUGAAUCCCUUAGCAACUAAUCAAGCUUUAUAGCGAUCAAUGGUUCCAUCUUCUCUGUAUUUGAUAUGAUAUACCCACUUUGAUCGGAUGACAUUAACAUUGUUAGGCCGCGGCACAAGGACCCAGGCCAUGUCUAAUUUUGGUGCAAUGCUUGAAGCUCUUCUUUCAUAGCUUGAGUCCAAAGUGGAUUCUCUAAGGCAGUUUUGAGUGUUUUGGGUUCAAUUUGGCUACUGUGGCUGGUUUGAAGGGCUAACUUAGGAUUUUGUUUGAGUUCAUUAUGUGUCAUCAUGGGAUGAGUAUUUAGACUUCGUGGUUCUGCGGCAGUGUUUGGUAUCUUAAGUUCCACGAAUAAGCGAUUGGAUAUGUCAGCAAAUUUGGUUGUGAAUAUGUGGCAGAGCUAUUGUCCAUAUUUCUAGACAAAUUGGUUGGUUUAGUUGCAUAUGAACUAUUAGAAUUUGGAUCAUUUGUAGUCAAAGGUUGCAUUGCAUAUGGAGACUCCAAAAUAUUUAGAACUGCUUCUUAGUUUUCGUGUAGAGUUGCUGAGCUAGAAGAAGGAGUAUUCAAAUUGCCUCUAAAUUGUCUUCUGGGAAAUCUGAAAUAAUUGGAGAAGUAAUGUUUGAGUUGUUGUCCAAGUUCACGUCCAUGUGGGGCAUGAAUUGCGCAAGUGGUGUUGAUAUUGUAGCGCCUUUACAAUUAUUUACUUUGAUAGCACGUGAAUCAUUAAAAUUUUCACAAUUGGGAGAAUUAUUUGGGAGCCACUCGUCUUAUUGAGGGAAAGUGGUCAAUGUACUCUGUUCCUGCACAUUAAAAAAUGAUGUUAAUUUUUUUUAUGGUAAAUAAUUUUCAUAAAAAAAUGACAUGCCUGAUAUAUAUACACGAUUAGUCUGAGGUUGUAGACAACGAUAUCCUUUAUGAAGGGGACUAUAGCGUAUGAAAACACAUGGAUAUGAUUUUUUAUCAAAUUUUGUUUUACUAUAAUCCCGAAGAUAAGGAAAGCAUCUACAACCAAGGACUUUUUACCCUUUAUAGUUAGGUAAUUUUUUUAAAAGAAUUUCACAAGAGCUUUUAUUUUUUAAAGGUGAAAGGGGCAACUUGUUAAUGAUAUAAGUGGCUGCAAGAAAAGAAUCCACCCAUAAUUUGAGUGGGAAAGAAGCAUGAAACAUCAUAGUCAAGGCUGUCUCAUUGAUGUGCCUCUGCUUUCUCUCAAUAACACUAUUUUGCUCCGGAGUGUAUGGACACGAAAUUUGUCCUGUGAUGCCGCAAUUUUCCAGAUGUUUGAUGAAGGCCAUAGAAUUAAAUUCCCCUCCUCUAUCACUUUGAAAUAUUGUGAUCUUUUUGUCCAAUUGAUUUUCAACUUGUUUCUGAAAUUUCAAGAAGCACUCAAAGAAAUCAGAUUUUUAUUUUAAGGGAUAUAACAUGAGUAAUCAUCUACAAAUAAUACAUAGUAACGAAAAUGUUGAGUAGAAGUAAUGGGAGCUGGACCCUAUAUAUCACAAUGCACUCUUUGUAAAGGAAAAUCUGCUUUAUAUAGAUUAAUUAAAAACUUUCCUACAACUUUUGCCUAAUUAGCAGGAAACACAAAUAUGGGGUGUUUUAGACCAUCUAGGAAAGUCAAUAAAAUUAUUGCGUUUUAAGGCCUCCAAGAUUUUAGGAUUGGCAUGGCCAAGCCUCUUGUGCCAUAAACUAAAACCGCUAGAUUCUCCUUGAAUUGCGUUGAAGGUAGCAUGAAGGUCUCCUUCAAAUGUGUAUAGCUUCCCUUGCUUACUCCCCUUUGCUAGAACCUUGUUUUCCUUGCACUACACAAUAAAACCAUCAAUGUUAAAUUCAAAAACACACUUAAUAUCGUCAAUGAGUUGUCCAACUGAUAAGAGAUUCUUUUUCAGUUUUGGAACAACUAAAAUAUUAUUUAAGUGUAAAGAACCGUGAUUUGUAUUUAAAGAAGCAGAACCAAUAUGUGAAAUAUUCAAAUCUUGACCAUUGCUGACAAUUAUUUUGUCAUUACCUCUAUACGGACUUACAUGAUCAAGAUUACCUAUGUUAUUUGUCAUGUGUGAUGUUGCUCCAGAAUCCACACAGCACUAUUGAUCAUUAUUUUCUUGAAGAUUCAUGGCAGCUAGGGCCUGUGGAUCCUCUUCAUUGUUAUAGUCGUAUCUGUUCCAACAUUCAGCAGCACUAUGUUUGCGUUUAUGACAUAUUUUGCAAACAAUAACUUCUUCAUCUGAGGUACUGUUUUCUUUAUUCGGUUAUUGUAAUACCUGUGAAUGUAAAAUGGCAUGAGGCGGUGAAAGAGUUUAUAAGCAAAGGAAUAUGUUGGAAACAGAGGAAAAACACAUGCACGUGCAAAACAGAGAGAGAGAAGCUGCCAACUUACCCGAUCUUGACCCGCCGGAUCCGACCCGACCCGCGACUUUAACCCGGACGGAUUUCACGUUUCCGACCACCGUUUUGGCCGAGCUUGGUACCGAUCUGAAGCUUAGAAGCCGACCGUCGUUCCCCUGCCAUCCUCACUGCCGAAAACGAACCGGAACGCCGGCGAUCGAAGCUUGAAACCCGCGACUGCUUCACUUUACUCCGCCGAGAUUUUCGCCGGUUUUGAGUGACACCACCGGUUGGAUUUUGUUCCUCAUGACUCCCUCUUCCAUUUCCGACCAUUCAUAGGCACCGAGAGUCGUCGUUUUGCUGCCGGUCGAUUGUUGGAACUCACGGCUGUCGAGCUAGAUUCCGGCGUCGUUGCCGCGCGUUGGAGCUCACCGCCGGUACCAUUGAACUCAGCGUGAUUGGCACUUUAAGAUUUGAGCUUCCUGGCCAGCGUUGACCAAAUUCCGGUGACCGUUGACCGGCAAGGGCAUUUUGGUAAUUUCACACUAUGAGGGCAAUUUUGUCAUUUCUGAGCCUGUGGAUAUUUUAGUAAUUCAUAGAAUUGUGAAUUGGGUGUAAUUACGAUUUCGAGGAUAAUUCGGUGAUUUACGAUUUCGGAGCAUGUUAAUGAUUUACGGACUCAAGGGCAUUUUAGUAAUUUUAUCGUCACGGGAGUUGUUAAUUAUGGAUAAAUGUUCGUUUCGAGUUAUUGCAUAUAUUUAGUCGGAAUUCCGAUUUACGGAGAAUAAUUAUGUCGUUUCCUUGAUUUAGGAGGAUCCGCGAGCGAGAACCGGUCCGCGGACGUAGACGAUAACCGACUGUGAACACCGUCACUGUGAGUGGAAUAUACGAAACUUAUUUUUAGAGUUAAUUAUGAUAGUAAAGCAUGGUUGCGGAAUAAGUAUUUUUAAAUGUGCUGAUUUAAUGAUUUCUCGAAAUGGAUUNNNNNNNNNNNNNNNNNNNNNNNNNNNNNNNNNNNNNNNNNNNNNNNNNNNNNNNNNNNNNNNNNNNNNNNNNNNNNNNNNNNNNNNNNNNNNNNNNNNNNNNNNNNNNNNNNNNNNNNNNNNNNNNNNNNNNNNNNNNNNNNNNNNNNNNNNNNNNNNNNNNNNNNNNNNNNNNNNNNNNNNNNNNNNNNNNNNNNNNNNNNNNNNNNNNNNNNNNNNNNNNNNNNNNNNNNNNNNNNNNNNNNNNNNNNNNNNNNNNNNNNNNNNNNNNNNNNNNNNNNNNNNNNNNNNNNNNNNNNNNNNNNNNNNNNNNNNNNNNNNNNNNNNNNNNNNNNNNNNNNNNNNNNNNNNNNNNNNNNNNNNNNNNNNNNNNNNNNNNNNNNNNNNNNNNNNNNNNNNNNNNNNNNNNNNNNNNNNNNNNNNNNNNNNNNNNNNNNNNNNNNNNNNNNNNNNNNNNNNNNNNNNNNNNNNNNNNNNNNNNNNNNNNNNNNNNNNNNNNNNNNNNNNNNNNNNNNNNNNNNNNNNNNNNNNNNNNNNNNNNNNNNNNNNNNNNNNNNNNNNNNNNNNNNNNNNNNNNNNNNNNNNNNNNNNNNNNNNNNNNNNNNNNNNNNNNNNNNNNNNNNNNNNNNNNNNNNNNNNNNNNNNNNNNNNNNNNNNNNNNNNNNNNNNNNNNNNNNNNNNNNNNNNNNNNNNNNNNNNNNNNNNNNNNNNNNNNNNNNNNNNNNNNNNNNNNNNNNNNNNNNNNNNNNNNNNNNNNNNNNNNNNNNNNNNNNNNNNNNNNNNNNNNNNNNNNNNNNNNNNNNNNNNNNNNNNNNNNNNNNNNNNNNNNNNNNNNNNNNNNNNNNNNNNNNNNNNNNNNNNNNNNNNNNNNNNNNNNNNNNNNNNNNNNNNNNNNNNNNNNNNNNNNNNNNNNNNNNNNNNNNNNNNNNNNNNNNNNNNNNNNNNNNNNNNNNNNNNNNNNNNNNNNNNNNNNNNNNNNNNNNNNNNNNNNNNNNNNNNNNNNNNNNNNNNNNNNNNNNNNNNNNNNNNNNNNUUUGGGUUUCGUUUUGAAUAAAGUGUGUUAUUUUUGAAAGUUAAGAAAAGUGAAUUAAAUGUGGUAGGAUUUAAAAUGUGUAAAGAGGUAUGUGAAUAUGAGUACAGUGAUUUAGAUGAGGGGUAAUAAGGGAGGCCCGCCAAAUGAGGGGUAAUAAGGGAGGUGCGCGCUCUGAUUGUAAGGAGGCCUUUGGGGCCCGUCUGAGUACACAUAGAGGCUUUGGGCCGUGUGCUUGGGCGCUUUUGUCCUUUGGGGACUAGAUUAUGCAUGCAGAGAUAUGAUGAGAUAUGAUUUUCAGAUUUGUGAAAUCGAUAUGAUUUGGUGAUAUGAUUUCUAUGGUUGGUAAUCUGAUUUAAAUAUUUAAUGAUUUAUUUCUGAUUUCUCACUUAUGGUUUAAUGAAACCGUGUUUGGAUAUGCUUAUUUCUUUUAAAGUAAAGAUUAAUUUUCAAACCUACUAUCCACUCACUGAUCUCACUGAGUUUUAAACUCACCCCGUUUUUAUUAUAUUUUCCCCCCCUCACCAGGAGGUUGCAGGUACACCAGACCGACCCAGCGACUGUAUAUAUUUUGAGUCUUGGCCACGUGAUGGUGCUAGAGUAUAUAAAUGUUUUUGUUGGGACAUCUUGGUCAUCUUGUUCUUUUGGGGUUGUAUAUUAUAUAACUCAGUAUUUUUGGUUGAGUAUGUUGAGCACUGGAGUUUGUUGUAUAUUCAUAUUUGUACUUUGGGAGUGUUAUAUAUAUAAAGGAGACUCUGUCGAAUUUUCAGCAGAUUCUUUACGUAUAAUAUUAUUUUUAAGUCUGUUUUGAUGUAACUAGAUAGACUCGCCUGGGGGGUUUCGGGGCGGGUCGUUUCAGUUGGUAUCAGAGCAUGGUUUUAGAUUCUGUAGACUUUACUGUCUUAAUCAUAAUAAGUUUUAUCUUUAUUAAAGUCAGAGUUUAUCUCUUGUAGGCACCAUCAUGCUUCGUCGUAGUAGUAGACGUGGCCGUGGCCGUGGUCGAACUAGGCCAAUAGCUGGGUUGACUUCUGGUAGUGUACCUGCGGGGGAACGUGAACCCGCGAAUGAGGGGAUAGUUGAAUCCUCUACGCAUGGAAUUGCACAACAGACACCGGGGGAUGCCCCGAAUAUUGAGCAGUCAUUUGAUAGGCUGGCUCAAAUCAUGACUACAGUUGUGCAAAAUCAGACUCAAGCACAUGUCGGUAAUGCAAAUACUAUUGAGCGAGUGAGGAGUUUAGGGGCGAAGAGUUUUAAUGGUUUCGGAGAACCACCUGAGGCUGAGUCACGGUUUGUUAAGUUAGAGCGUAUUUUUGAUGUGAUGAAGUGUCCAGAAGAUGAUAGAUUAUCCUUCGCCACUUUCCUGCUCGAGGAUAGAGCUUACCAUUGGUGGCAGACAGUGGAGAGACGAUAUCAGGGACAUGCUGCGAUUACUUGGGUUAUUUUCCGCAAGGAAUUCUACGAUCAUUAUUUUCCUGUUGUAUAUCAGGAUAUUAAACGGAGUGAAUUCUUUCGGUUGGUUCAGGGAUCUCUGACAGUUGAGGAGUAUGAGAAGAAAUUUUUAGAUCUCUCUAGAUUUGCUACAUCUGUAGUCGGUGAUGAGAGAGAGAGAUGCAGACGGUUCGAGGAUGGCCUCCGAUUUGAGAUUCGUACCACCGUGACUGCAUCACGAUAUACUGAGUUUGGGGAGGUAGUUGAGGCAGCCAGGAGAGUAGAGCACAGUAUUGCAGAGGGACGUAGAUUUCAUGCACUGAAGCAAAAGCGUAGCCAGAGCUGGGCAGAGGGUGACUCUAGUAGUAGGCCGCCCAAGAGAGGGGGUAUUCCUACGAGUUAUUUUGAUAGUAUGCAAAGGAGUCAGGGUACAGGCUUCAGAGGGGACUCGAGACAAGCUGUUAGUCAUAGUUCUGUACAACCAUUGGUAGGGAGUAAUACCAGGACUCAGGGACAGUACGACCGCAGUAGCGGGGGAUAUCGUGAUGAUCGUUCUAGGAGUUUCCAGCUAACUUCUUGCCCUUCAUGUGGCAGGAAUCAUCAGGGCCAAUGUCGUGUUGGAGACAGAGUUUGUUAUUUAUGUGGUCAGCCUGGACACAUCAGGAGAUUUUGCCCUACUUUAUCUCAGGGUGAUAGCUCUACAGGAGGGACAGCCUCACGGUACCGGCCUUACUCUAGCCAGAUUCAGGGUCAGAGAGGAGUGCAGACAGGAGGUUCUACAUCUACCUUUAGGGGUCAGACGACUGCUUCAGGUCAGAGAGGUCAGUCUGGUCGACCUCAUACUCAGGCUCGAGUUUUUGCUUUGACGCAGCAGGAGGCACGUGCUGCACCCGAAGUUAUUAUGGGUAUAUUAUCUAUCCUUGGCCGCGAGGCUCAUAUUCUUAUUGAUCCUGGAUCCACACACUCUUUUGUUUCUCGUACUUUUGCUAUGCAUAUAGGGCGAGAGCCCGAACUGCUAGAUUGUGAAUUAGUUGUUCGUACACCUACCGGAGAGUCAGUACUUGCUCAGAGUGUGUAUCGAGAUUGUAUGAUUGGAAUGGGUGAACAUGAAUUUGAGGCGAAUUUGAUUUCCUUAGAGAUUUAUGACUUUGAUGCUAUUUUGGGUAUGGAUUGGCUUGAAUCUCAUUAUGCUACGGUGGAUUGUUUCAAAAAGGAUGUUGUGUUUAAAAAGCCAGGGAAAGCUGAGGUGAAAUUUUGUGGGGAGCGCAGAGUUCUACCCUCAUGUGUUAUAUCUGCUAUUAGUGCAAGACGGUUGUUAAGAAAAGGAUGCUCAGCUUAUUUAGCUCAUGUGAUAGAUACAGAAGCUCGAGAAUUGAGAUUGGAGGAUAUUACAGUAGUUAAAGAAUUUCCAGAUGUUUUUCCAAAUGAACUUCCUGGAAUGCCACCUAACAGAGAAGUUGAGUUUUCUAUUGACUUAGUCCCUGGAACAUCUCCAAUAUCUAUGGCACCGUACCGAAUGGCUCCAGCAGAAUUAAAGGAACUGAAGGUUCAAUUGCAAGAGUUGGUAGAGAAAGGGUUUAUUAGACCUAGUGUGUCCCCGUGGGGAGCUCCAGUCUUAUUUGUUAAGAAAAAUGAUGGGACUUUUAGACUCUGCAUCGACUAUAGGCAGUUGAAUAAAGUUACGGUACGCAAUAAGUAUCCACUUCCGCGUAUUGAUGACUUGUUUGAUCAACUCCAAGGGGCAAAAGUAUUUUCUAAGAUUGAUUUGCGCUCGGGUUACCAUCAGCUUAGAAUUAAAGAUGUUGACGUUCCUACAACAGCAUUCAGAACCCGUUAUGGGCACUAUGAGUUCUUAGUGAUGCCAUUUGGAUUGACAAAUGCCCCAGCUGCUUUUAUGGACCUGAUGAACAGGGUAUUUAGCCUAUACCUAGAUCGGUUUGUGAUUGUAUUCAUUGAUGAUAUUUUGGUGUAUUCCCGAAACGAGAAGGAGCAUGCAGAGCAUUUGUGGACUGUUUUACAGACUUUGAGACAGAAGCAGUUGUAUGCCAAGUUCAGCAAAUGUGAGUUUUGGUUGGACAGAGUCGUAUUUUUGGGCCAUGUGAUAUCAGCUGAAGGUAUUUAUGUUGAUCCUCAAAAGAUUGAAGCAGUUGUGAAAUGGGAACGGCCUACAAAUGUCACAGAGGUUCGGAGUUUUCUUGGGUUAGCUGGUUAUUAUCGUAGAUUUGUGGAAGGAUUCUCCAAGAUUGCUAUUCCUAUGACACGAUUAACCAGAAAGAAUGCUAAGUUCCAGUGGGAUGAUGACUGUGAAAAAAGUUUUCAAGAACUUAAGACAUGUUUGACCUCAGCACCAGUUCUUACACUUCCAUCUGGUAAUGAAGGAUUUAUGGUUUACAGUGAUGCCUCUAGGCAGGGAUUGGGUUGUGUAUUGAUGCAGCAUGGGAAAGUGGUGGCUUAUGCCUCUAGACAACUUAAGAAGCAUGAACAAAACUAUCCAACACAUGAUUUAGAACUAGCAGCAGUGGUGUUUGCACUCAAGAUAUGGCGGCAUUACUUAUAUGGAGCAACAUGUCAGAUUUUUACCGAUCAUAAGAGCUUGAAGUAUUUGUUUACUCAGAAGGAGUUGAAUUUGAGACAGAGGAGAUGGAUCGAACUGAUUAAGGACUACGAUUGCACUAUCGAUUAUCAUCCAGGCAAAGCAAAUGUGGUGGCUGAUGCACUAAGUAGAAAGUCUUCCAGCUCUAUCGCUCACUUGCGAGUGAAAUAUGUACCUCUGUUGAUCGAGUUGAGAUCUUUGGAAGUCGAGUUGAAUACUGACAAUCGUGGAGCUUUGAUAGCUAACUUCCGCGUUAGGCCGACUUUGAUUGACAAAGUUCACCAUAUGCAAGCUCAGGACCCACAGUUAAUGAAGUUAAAAGAGGAUGUGCAGAAAAGUUUACGAACCGAUUUUAUGGUGAGAGAGGAUGGAGUUGUAUUCAUGGGUAAUAGACUCUGUGUACCUGAUAUUAAAGAUUUGAAAAAAGAGAUUAUGGAAGAAGCUCACUGUUCAGCCUAUGCGAUGCAUCCUGGUAGUACGAAGAUGUACCGUACCUUGAGAGAUCAUUAUUGGUGGCAGGGCAUGAAGAGAGAGAUAGCAGAAUUUGUUUCUCGAUGUUUGGUCUGUCAACAGAUUAAAGCUGAACACCAUAGGCCUGCAGGGUGCUCUCAGCCGCUUCCUAUUCCAGAGUGGAAGUGGGAGCACAUUACUAUGGAUUUUGUGGCGGGACUUCCACAUACUCAGAAAGGACAUGAUGGUGUUUGGGUGGUUGUAGAUCGACUUACAAAAUCUGCUCAUUUCUUACAUUUCUAAGACCAUCCCUCUAGUAAAAGUGCGAUGGAGGAAUCAUACAAAGGAAGAGGCUACCUGGGAGCGCGAGGACUUAGUGCGAGCUCAAUAUCCCUAUCUUUUCUUAUCAGGUACGUAAAUUUCGAGGACGAAAUUUUUCUUUAUUCGGUUUUUGUAAUACCUGUGAAUGUAAAAUGGCAUGAGGCGGUGAAAGAGUUUAUAAGCAAAGGAAUAUGUUGGAAACAGAGGAAAAACACAUGCACGUGCAAAACAGAGAGAGAGAAGCUGCCAACUUACCCGAUCUUGACCCGCCGGAUCCGACCCGACCCGCGACUUUAACCCGGACGGAUUUCACGUUUCCGACCACCGUUUUGGCCGAGCUUGGUACCGAUCUGAAGCUUAGAAGCCGACCGUCGUUCCCCUGCCAUCCUCACUGCCGAAAACGAACCGGAACGCCGGCGAUCGAAGCUUGAAACCCGCGACUGCUUCACUUUACUCCGCCGAGAUUUUCGCCGGUUUUGAGUGACACCACCGGUUGGAUUUUGUUCCUCAUGACUCCCUCUUCCAUUUCCGACCAUUCAUAGGCACCGAGAGUCGUCGUUUUGCUGCCGGUCGAUUGUUGGAACUCACGGCUGUCGAGCUAGAUUCCGGCGUCGUUGCCGCGCGUUGGAGCUCACCGCCGGUACCAUUGAACUCAGCGUGAUUGGCACUUUAAGAUUUGAGCUUCCUGGCCAGCGUUGACCAAAUUCCAGUGACCGUUGACCGGCAAGGGCAUUUUGGUAAUUUCACACUAUGAGGGCAAUUUUGUCAUUUCUGAGCCUGUGGAUAUUUUAGUAAUUCAUAGAAUUGUGAAUUGGGUGUAAUUACGAUUUCGAGGAUAAUUCGGUGAUUUACGAUUUCGGAGCAUGUUAAUGAUUUACGGACUCAAGGGCAUUUUAGUAAUUUUAUCGUCACGGGAGUUGUUAAUUAUGGAUAAAUGUUCGUUUCGAGUUAUUGCAUAUAUUUAGUCGGAAUUCCGAUUUACGGAGAAUAAUUAUGUCGUUUCCUUGAUUUAGGAGGAUCCGCGAGCGAGAACCGGUCCGCGGACGUAGACGAUAACCGACUGUGAACACCGUCACUGUGAGUGGAAUAUACGAAACUUAUUUUUAGAGUUAAUUAUGAUAGUAAAGCAUGGUUGCGGAAUAAGUAUUUUUAAAUGUGCUGAUUUAAUGAUUUCUCGAAAUGGAUUUUAUUCACUUGUUGAUAUUAUAUGAAAAUGUUUGGUUAAUAAUUUUGCGUAUCGAUUUUGAAUAAAGUGUGAUAUUAUUUGAAAGUUAAGAAAAGUGGAUUCAAAUGUGGUAUGAUUUAAAAUGUGGUAAAGAGGUAUGUGAAUAUGAGUACAGUGAUAUAGAUGAGGGGUAAUAAGGGAGGCCCGCCAAACUGAGGGGUAAUAAGGGAGGUGCGCGCUCUGAUUGUAAGGAGGCCUUUGGGGCCCGUCUGAGUACACAUAGAGGCUUUGGGCCGUGUGCUUGGGCGCUUUUGUCCUUUGGGGACUAGAUUAUGCAUGCAGAGAUAUGAUGAGAUAUGAUUUUCAGAUUUGUGAAAUCGAUAUGAUUUGGUGAUAUGAUUUCUAUGGUUGGUAAUCUGAUUUAAAUAUUUAAUGAUUUAUUUCUGAUUUCUCACUUAUGGUUUAAUGAAACCGUGUUUGGAUAUGCUUAUUUCUUUUAAAGUAAAGAUUAAUUUUCAAACCUACUAUCCACUCACUGAUCUCACUGAGUUUUAAACUCACCCCGUUUUUAUUAUAUUUUCCCCCCCUCACCAGGAGGUUGCAGGUACACCAGACCGACCCAGCGACUGUAUAUAUUUUGAGUCUUGGCCACGUGAUGGUGCUAGAGUAUAUAAAUGUUUUUGUUGGGACAUCUUGGUCAUCUUGUUCUUUUGGGGUUGUAUAUUAUAUAACUCAGUAUUUUUGGUUGAGUAUGUUGAGCACUGGAGUUUGUUGUAUAUUCAUAUUUGUACUUUGGGAGUGUUAUAUAUAUAAAGGAGACUCUGUCGAAUUUUCAGCAGAUUCUUUACGUAUAAUAUUAUUUUUAAGUCUGUUUUGAUGUAACUAGAUAGACUCGCCUGGGGGGUUUCGGGGCGGGUCGUUUCAGUUGGUAUCAGAGCAUGGUUUUAGAUUCUGUAGACUUUACUGUCUUAAUCAUAAUAAGUUUUAUCUUUAUUAAAGUCAGAGUUUAUCUCAUCCUCUGCCCUGGUAUGGAGGUCUUCCACCGCUUUGAUUUCUGCCUCUUCCACGUUGACCAAAGAAGGCUUGGUUUUGAUUUGUGCCAAGUCUAGCUUCUUCAUCUUUUUCUACGAUCACAAUAUGUUCAUGGUUUUGGAGAGCAUUGAUGAGUUGUUUAAGGCUGGGAUAUGGAGGUUUAUUGAGCAUUGUAGUUUUGAAGUCAGCAUAUUUGGGACCUAAGGCUCUUGCAAUUUGAAAAAUUUUGUCAUCAUCGUUCAUUGGUUUUCCAAUGGCUGCCAACUUGUUGCUGACGCCCUUGAAUUUCUUAAGAAAUUCAUCAAGCUUGGAAGAUCCUUUCUUUAGAGAAUAAAGGCUAUCUUUUAGCCAUGUUUCUUACUCCUUAGUUGCAGGUAGCAUGAUCUCUUCAACAGUGAGCCAGAUUUCUUGAGCCGUCUGCAAGCCGAUAACCAUGCUCAACACGUCUUCAUUCAUCAUACUUCUAAGCCAAGUUGUGAGAAGUCCAUCAUUAUUUUUCCACAUGAGAAAAUCUAGAUUAUUUAUCUCCUUCCCCUCUUGCUCUAUCAUCUUCGGUGGAGUCUUAACAUCAACUAUAUAGUGAUUUAGCCCAAGGGCAAAUAUAAGUGGUUGAACAUGAGAACUCCAAAGAAGAUAAUUUUUGGUGUUGAGUUUGAUUGGAACCAAACUCGAACACUGAUGGAAAGAUUGAAGGGAUAGGGAUGGUUCUGAAUUUGAACUUGAAGCCAUGAGGCUCUGAUACCAUAAAAUUAGUUGAGAUGCUUGAAUAUGGUGAAAAUAGUAAUUGUUUUUGUCUCUUAAUUCAAUUGCUUGAAGUUUACAAAUAUAAAGACGUUUAAGAUGCUGUAAAAGGAAAGACAAUAUUUACAAUAAUUAUAAUAAUCAUAUAGCCGUUGUGAUGAAUCCACCAUGACACAUGCUGCUAUAUUUUACAUCAAUUAUGGCUUAGACGAGAUGUUGGAAAUCCUUUUGCUAUGGCUGUACAAACUACCAUAUUNNNNNNNNNNNNNNNNNNNNNNNNNNNNNNNNNNNNNNNNNNNNNNNNNNNNNNNNNNNNNNNNNNNNNNNNNNNNNNNNNNNNNNNNNNNNNNNNNNNNUCCAUUUCAAAAUUAGUCUGUUUGUGCUAAUGUGAUUGCUACUUUUAUGUUAUAUUUGUAGUUUUUAUUUUAUUUACUAGUAAUACAUCAAUUUACCAGUUUUACACUAAUUUAUUUGUUUUACCUUCUAUUUACAAGUCUUUUUUUUCAUUUCCAAAAUUUAUAUUUUAUUUUACAGUUAAUGUUGAUUUACUAUUUUAUGUUAUAUUUGCAAGUUUUUGUUUUGUUUACUAAUAAUACAUCAAUUUACUAGUUUUAUAUUAAUUUACUCGUUUUAUCUUUUAUUUACAAGUCACAUAUUUAAUUUCUAAAAUUGAUGUUUUAUGUCAAAGUUACGAGUUUUAAGUUUCAUUUACAUAAUUUAUGUUUAAUUAUAGUAUUGAAGCCAAAUAGAACAAGUGUGACAAACAAAAACCAAUGAGUGAUUUGAACUUACAUGGUUCAGCUAUACGAAGAUUGACAUAACCUACAUCCACGGGAGAAGUUUUUUGGUGAUCUUUUAUUGACGAUCAAUGGAGAAUCUUUUACAAAGCAAUUACAACAGAUUACAGAAAACAAGCUAGAACUUUCUCUCUCUUCUAUCUCUCUCUUUUUUGCUAACAAUGAUGAUCACUAGCUGCUUCGUUAACCAGCCUUAUAAUUGCAUCAGUAGCAAAUCAGCAAAUCCAUAUUACACAGCUCUUGGAUACGUGCAUAAUGGUUUUACUGAAUUCAGCUAAAGUCCUCUCACAUGACCGUCACGUGCAUCAAUAUAGCGAAAACGACUUAAAACAAGUGUCAUUUUUAUGUUAACAUUUUAUAAGUUAAUCACAUCUUGUGCCUCGUAAUUUUUAACUACCAAAGACACCUCAAAAUGUUGUCGUUUUAUUCUUGCUGAGUUUGAUUCACCAAUAACCUUCAUAGUCCGGAAGAACAAGACAAACAAGUGCUUUUAAUAUAUUUAAUGAUGAUUCAAGGAAGAUUGUUGGUGAUUCUAUCAUUAGACAGGUGGCUAAGGAGAAGACUGUUGUAGGCUUAUGGGAAAAUUUGAAAGUCUUUACAUGACUAAACCUUGGCAAAUAGACUCUACAUCAAAAAAGGAUGUUUACCCCAAGAAUGGUUGAGGGCUUAUCUCCUGAACAACACAUAGCUGAAUUCAAUUAGGUAUAUUAUACCUUGGAAAUAAUUAAUGAGGGAUUAGAUGAUGAGGGUAAAGCUCUUCUUUUAGUUAGUUUCGUGCCUAAGUCAUAUGAAAACUUUGUUAAUGCUUUGAUGUAUGGAAGACAAACCUUGACUCUUGAUGAAGUUAAGGUUGCUCUUAAGUUAAGGUUUCUCUUAACACUAGGGAGUUACAAGGAAAACAAGAUAUUAUAGAGAACGGUACUAAAGGGUAGAUAUGAUAAUAAGGAUGAAAAAAAAAAGAAAUAAGGGAAACAAAAGACCAAAUCUAAGACCUAGAAGUGCUUUCAAUGUCAGAAGAAAGGCUACUUCAAGAAAGAUUGUCUUGAGAAAAAGAAUAAGCCUAAAGAUUUAAAGAAUCAAAGUGGAGAUACAAUUAUAGUGGAAGAGGAAGUAUAUGAGUCAGUAAGUGUAUGUAUAGCAACAAAUGACAACGAAAAAGGUAAAUGGAUCUUGGAUUUAAGAUGCACCUUUCAUAUGAGUCCUUUAAUUGAUUGCUUUAGAGAGUAGCGUGUCCGCAUGAAAAAAAAUGAGAGCAACCACAUCUCAAAAAGACUGCAUAGACAUGCACUCACACACAUAAUAAUAAUAAUAAUAAUAAUAAUUCUUGGGUGAGGAUAUCCUCAUUUUAACAAAGUGAGAAUGUUAUUAACAAAAAAUAAAACACAAUUUCCAAUGUAAUAAAAUUUAUAUUUUUUUUGGUAUUUUAGUGUGUAGGAUGCCCUCAAUAGAGAAUAACUAUAUAUAGAGUAAUUUUCCAAUUAGGGAUCCCUGACUUUAUUAAAGUCAGGGAUUAGCUAAAAGAUAAAAUAAACACAGACUCUAAUGCAUUGUAUUUGUCAUGUAGUAUAUUAAAAUUAAUUUUUUUUUUUAUCUUUUAGCUAAUCCUUGACUUUAUUAAAGUUAGAGAUUCCUGAUUGGAAAACUACUAUAUAUAUAUAUAUAUAUAUAUAUAUAUAUAUAUAUAUAUAAUGAGGCUAAUGUAAUUUAAUCUAAUCCAGUCUAAUAUUAAUAGUUUGUGUAAUUUAAUCAGCAUAUUAAAUGUAGCCUAAAGAAUUAAAAAAAGCAAAAGUGACUCAAUGUUGCAAACUUGUUUGGUUGAUCAACUAGCAAAAAGACUUAGAGAAAAUUGAGAACAAACAAUAGAGAACAAUAUUAGUGGAUUACGGUCUAUGGAUCAUGAUGAAAAGCAUUUCUGUGACCAUACAUGAAGCAACUUAAGGCUUAAGUAUGUUGUCACUAUUUUUUAUAUAUUGCAAAAUACCUAGAAAACCCUAAGGUAAAGUAAUGAUGGGAAACAAUGCCAUGUGCAGAGUCAUUGAUAUAGGAAAUGUAAGGCUUAUGAUGCAUGAUAAGACCAUGUUGGAGAUUAAAUAUGUCAGGCAUGUAUCUAAUUAGAAAAUAAAUUUGAUUUCCUUGGGAAUGUUUGACCAAAUAGGAUAGAGCAAGAGGCUUAAAUCAUGUAACCUAAGGGUAAUGAAUGGCUCUAAAAUUAAAAUGAAAGGUACUGGGAAGAAUAGUGCAUAUGUUCUGGAUAGUGAAGUAAUAGUUGGUGAAUCUACAAUCUCUAUUGAUAGUAAUAUUGAUAAAACCAAACUAUAGCAUCUUAGGCAAGGACAUAUGAAUGAAAGGGAUCUCAAAGAACUUGAAAGAUAGUGUGUAUUAGGUGGGGACAAGAUUGAAAGUAUAGGUUUCUGUAAAGGAUAGGGAAAUCUAAAAGAGAUAGCUUUAAUAGAUCCGUCUAAAAGUCAAAUAAUAUUCUAGACUAUAUACACCCUGACCUUUGAAGACCAGCUUAAGAUCUAUCCGUUGGUUGAAACAAAUACUUUGUGAACUUCACUAAUAACUUUUCAAGAAACGUCUAGACCUAUGUUUUGAAAAAUAAGGAUCAAGUGUUUGAAAAAUUCAAGGAAUAGAAAAGUCUGGUUGAAAAACAAGUAAGAAAGAAGGUUAAGAAGUUGAGGAUAGAUAAUAACUUAGAGUUUUCUAAUCAGCAGUUUUAGAGCUAUUGUGCAAAUUAUGGGAUAGCUAGACACAGAACAGUGAGACUGACACCUAAAAAAUAUUGGCUGGCUAGAAGGAUGAAUAAGACACUUACGGAGAGGGUAAGAUAUAUGCUCAUUCAAUUUAAGCUAUCAAAGUCACUGUGCGUAAGAGAUAUUGAUGAUAGCAACCUAUCUAGUGAAUCUAAGUGUCUCAUCAACUAUAAGCAUUCAGAUACCUUUUGAGAUGUAGGCUGGUAAGCUAGUAAGUAUAAAAAAAUUAGAGCAUAUGUUCAAGUAAAUCAAGGGAGGCAUAUGCCAAGAGCAUUAAAAGGGGUGUUAAUAGGUUAUCCGAAAGGGGUGAAAGGAUAUAAAAUAUGGUGCACUAAUCUAAAUCCUCCUAAGUAGUGCACAAUCAGCAGGGAUAUCAUCUUUAAUGAAGGUGAAAUGGCAGUCAAAAAGCAGCUUGUUGAAGUAACAAACAAUAAUAUAAAGCCUUUUGAAAUAUUAAAAUUUGAAGUGGAGCCACCUAAUCAUAGGAACAUUGAAGAAGCUGCAAAUUCUGAAGAUAGUGGUAUCAAUUCAGAUAGAACUCAGGAAUCUCAACAAAAAAUUCAAUCAGAAUUAUGUCCUUAGGAAUAAACUUAUAAACUUACGAGGGAUAGGAAGAAUAGACAUAUAAAGCCACAUAAGAGGUUUGGUAAUGCAAAUCUAAUUGCUUUUGCUUUAGUUGCUGCACAUGAUGUUAAUCACUACUAGAAUUAUGGUCAUCUGUGACCAAUAAAUUUGUCGCAGAAAAUAUCAAAUUCGCCACAAAAAAUAAUUUGCGAUAAAAAAUUAUGGUCGCAAGUUGGUCACAUUAGGUAUGUCGAGGAAAAGUAUUCACAACCACUUCAUAAGUUGGUCGCAGAAAAUAACUUUUCGCGAUGAAAAAAAUGGUCGCAAAAUAUAAUUUCACUUUGUCUCCGUUACUUUUUUGCAACCAAUUAUUUCGUCACAGAUUUAGAAUAUUUGCGACCAUACUCAAACUGGUCACAAAAAAUUUAAAUAUAAUAUUAUGUUUUAAUUAAAAUUUUAUAAAAUUUUAAUUUUUCUUUAAUAAUUAAGACAAUUAUAACCAACGUCAUGAAAGCAGAAAAAUUAAAUUAAAAUUUAUUAUUGAUAAAAAAUACACAAAAAAUUUUAGCGAAUGAAAUUACAUUAUUUAGAACAAUUACAUAAUUGUAACAUUUGGAUCAAUUACAUAAUGAUCUUCAAGUAACAUUGUAAUAUUUGGAACGACUAUAUUUAUUCAUAAAUUUCUUGAUUUUCUUCACCUCCUUGCAUCUUGAUUUUCUUCACCUCUUUGUAUAUGAUCUUCAAUAUUUAAUUUCUACAAAAAAAGCACAAAUGUUUGUUAACUUCUACACAUGAUAAUUAAAUAAAAUUAUGUAACAAUGAUAAUUAAAUAAAAUUAUGUAACAAAAAAAUAAAAAAGUUUGUAAGGAAAAUAAGCUAGGAAGAUAGAGUGAGAACAAGAGAAUGAGAAUUAUACGAGUGAGAGAAUUUAGAGAUAAAAAUGAAAGAGAGAAGAAUAAUACAAAUAUAUAUAUAACAUGCUAGCCUUUUGCGACCACGUUUAAAUUUGGUCACAAAAACUUGUUCAAAUUGAGUUUGAUUGUGUAAGGCGGUUCAAUGUCUGCCAAAAUAUUUCAUUUUUAGCAACCAAAUAAUGAUUGGUCUCAAAAAGUGUUAUAAAUAUCUUUUUAUGAUUUGGUUGGCGGUAGAUUACCUGCCAAAAUCUUUUGACUUUUUGCGACAACUCGAAAGGGGUCGCAAAAAGUAGAUAUUUUGAGACGAAAAUUUGGUUUUGUCCCAAAAACGAAGUUACAUAUUAAUUUUAUCACUUUUGUUUUUGCAACGAUAUCUUGAAGUGGUCACUGAAAGUAUAGAAUUUGCGACGAAAAUAUGUUUGGUCGCCAAAAGUGAGGUUCUGUGAUGAACUUAAUUUUGGUUACAGAAAAACAAGACAUUUAGCGAUGAAAUCGCCUAUGGUCGAAUAAAGUGACAUUCUAUAACAAAAAUUAUAUCGUCACUAAAAAUAUGGUCGCGAAAGAAAAUAAUUCUUGUAGUUAAUGAUGAAGAACCUAAGACCUUUAAAGAAGCUGUACAGAGUCCUUUUAAGAAUAAAUGACAGAAAGUUAUGGAGGAAGAAAUAAACUUUCUGUAUAAGAAUGAAACUUUGGAAUUGGUUAAGAGGUCUGCAAACAAAAGAGUGGUUGGAUGUAAAUGGUCUUCAAAGUGAAAGAAGGCUUGACUGGAUCUGAACCUAAGAGAUUCAAGGCAAGGUUAUUGGCAAAAGGGUAUGCACAAAAGGAAGGGGUUGAUUUUAAGGAAGUAUUUUCUCUUGUGGUCAAAUAUGCAUCUAUAAGGGUGAUUUUGCCCUUAACAGCAAUUCAAGACAUGGAGCUGGAUCAACUUGAUGUCAGGACUGCCUUCUUAUAUGGUAAACUUCAAGAAGAAAUACUUAUGUCCCAACCUGAAAGGUACAAAGACUUUGAAUAGAAAGAUCAUGUUUUCUUAUUAAAGAAAUCAUUAAAUUGGUUAAAACAAUUCCCAAGGCAAUGGUACCUAAGGUUCGAUGAGUUCAUGGUGCCAAAUGGGCUAAAAAAAUGUAAUUAUGACUGUUGUGUUUACUUUAAAUUAAUGAAAGGCAGUGUUUAUGUGUACUUGUUAUUAUAUGUUGACGGCAUGUUAUUAGCAAGUAAAGACAGAGAGGUUAUUGAGAAUUUAAAGUUGUUGCUCAAUCCAGAAUUUGACAUGAAGGAUCUGGGCCAAGCUAAAAAAGAUAUUGGGCAUGGAAAUUAAAAAGAACAGGAGGACUAGUUUGCUAUUUCUGUCUCAAGAUAAUUAUUUGAAGAAAAUGUUAGUUACAUAUGAAAUGAUUGACUCUAAUCUAGUUCAGACAUCUUUGGCUUCAUAUUUCAGACUUAAAAGUUCACAGUGUCCAACUGUAGAUGAAGAGAAGCAUGAAAUGGUCAGAGUUCCCUAUAAAAGUACGGUGGGGUGUUUGAUGUAUGCAAUGGUCUUAACUAGGCCGGAUAUUGCUCCCGCUGUGAAAUGAAUCAUGAGGUAUAUGGAAUCACUUGGGAAGGAGCAUUAGAGGGUUGUGAAAUGGAUUAUAAGGUAUCUUAAUGGCACUUUAAACUGUGGACGGGUAUAUGGGAGAAGUAAAGGUAGAAACGAUAGGUUGUGGGGCUAUGUAGACUCAGAUUAUGCUAGUGAUUUGGAUAGAAGAAGAUCGUUGACUAGUUAUGUUUUAUGGUCAAUGGAUUUGUUGUCAAUUGAAAAGCUAUAUUACAACAUGUAGUUGCUCUCUCAACUACUGAAGCUGAGUAUACAGCUGCACCAGAAGCUUUAAAAGAAGCUUUAUGGCUCAAAGGGCUGGUAUAUGAGUUGUGGAUAUGCAGAAGUCAGUACUUAUUUUUUGUGAUAGCUCUAGUGCUAUACAUUUGUGCAAGAAUCCAGCACAUCGUGAGAAAACUAAACAUAUAGAUAUCAAGCUACACUUUAUAAGGAAUGAAAUCUCGGAGGCUGCUCUAAAAAUGGUAAAAAUACAUACCCUACAGACAUGCUUACCAAAGUUGUUCCGGUUGCUAAGUUCAAGUUAUGCCUGCCCUGGACUAGCCGGUUUAAGUAACUUAUGAAAUUACUUGAUGUUGGAGAAGGAGCAUGAAUGAGCAGUGUUAAUUUAAGAUGGAGAAUUGUGAAGGUUACUGGUGAAUCAAACUCAGUAGAAUAAAACAGCAGUGUUUUGAGGUGGCUUUGGUAGUUAAAAAUCACGAGACACAGUACAUGAUUCACUUGUAAAUUGUUAGCAUCAAAAUGGUACUCGUUUUGAGUCGUUUGGCAUUUUACUUAAUUGAUGCACGCGGCAGUCAUGUGAUAGGAGUUUAGCUGAGUUCGGUAAAGUCGUUAUCCAUACGUCAGCGAGCUCUACAAUCUGGGUUUGACGGUGGCUAAUCUCAAUACUCUCUCUUUAAGCCAUUCAUGACUGAAUGAAAGAAUGCAAAGUACAAGAGAAGAAAAAUGAUGAAGAAGAAGAGACCGAAAUGGUGGGUUCACUUAAAUUUGAUUUAAUAAUAAUUGUGUUUGGUAAGAAUAUAUUGGGUAUAUAGGUAGGCUCAUAAAGUAAAAAUUAAAAAGUUUAAAUUUCAGUAGUGAGUUUAUUCAGUAAAUAGGUUUAAUAAUGAAUAGUUUAAUGGCUCCAAAUAAUCUCACCUCACUUAAUUUUUUUUUUAAUAACACCUCCAUUUUAUAUUUUUUUUAUCUGUAAUUACAGUUUUAUCCUUAAUUUUUGUUUGAAUUUUUCAGCAGUUGGUUCAUAAAAAGCAGUGUCCACCAAUGGCAUUUAUUUCAUACAUGAAAUCAAUUAUCUCAUUUAUAGUUAUAAGAAAAUUGAAAUCUACGGAUUACAUUUACUCUUGCCAAUACUGUCUUCCAGUACGUGAUGGCCCAUAAAAAGCACACUCUUACUCCUUAAUUUAACAUCGUCCACUUUGCUGCAGAUUUCUGUUUUUUUGAGAUCUUCCUCUUUGGAGUUCUCGAAUCCUCCUUCAUUAAUGAAAUUCGAGCAUUUCAUCGUCUUGGCGACCAACUAAAUCUUCUUCUCCACAUAUUAUUAGGAACAGAGUAACUAAAUUAAUCAAUUUUGUUUUUCUUUGUAACUUAGUUUGAUCCAAAUUAAUCCAAUUUUUAAAGCUGAAUUUGGUUCCGUGGGAAGUAUCCUUUCGUUAAUGCUUCUUUUCCAACAUGAAAAACGCAAUGGGUGCAGGAAGAUACAAACAAUGAAGAAAAUUGUUAUUCUGGGUGUAAGACUACUAUCUAAGAUUCAAAUAAAACAUAAUAAAUACAAAAUUAAGGUAAAAUUAAUACUAUAAAUCUGAUCAUAUUUCCCAAAAUAAGCAAUAUCUUCCUAAAUUAAUAAUUGAUUAAUUUAUUGAGGUUUGAUAAUAUUUUAUUAAUCGCAAUGUCACAAAUACGAAACUUGGUAACGUAAAAUAAUAUGAUAUUGACUUUGGAGUACAACACCUAAUACGAGAGAAUCACGUGAAGCGAUAUUGAAAGAGAUUUUAUUUGACUAUUUGCUUAAUAAUUAAUAUAAAAGGAUAUUAAACCUGAAUGAAUGAAUUACGUAGCAUCUUAAUUUAUGAUUGUAAUCUUGUUGAUUUUGAUUCUGAUCUUGAAUGAUGAUAUGUGCUAGCUGUCCGUGAUCUUCAGACAUGGACAAUUAAUCUGUUUUAUACAAAUAUAAUAGUCAUGGGCGAUAUAAAUUAAAGGAAAUGUAUAUGUCGAGUCAUUUUAACUAUGUGUUAUCUUCAAUUAACCUUUAAUUUAUUUCAAAUUAUUGUAUCAAUGAAAUGCGGGGAGGUUGUCAAUUUCUCCCCAAUUGAAAUUAAUAUAUAUUAUUUACUCGCAACAUAAUUUUUCAGUAUUACUCUCAUUUUCAAAUACAUUUUUAUUUAUAUUUGUCAUAAAUUAAAUAACUCAUAUAAAUAGAAAUAAAAAUAAAAAUUUUAAGUAUUAAAAAUAAGAAACAUAUAUGAUACGAUAUUUUUCUUGUAUUAUUUUAUGUAAAAAAAUCUUAUAACAAGUAUAUAUUUUACAAUAAAUAUCUAAAACAACAAAAAGUAUAAGAAAAAUAUCUUAAUAUUAAUUUUUUUAUUUACUUCAAAACAUAUAUUUCUUAUUUUUAAUACUCAAAUUUUUUUAUUUAAUUUAUAUUGACAAUAUUUAUUUAAUUUAUAACAAGUAUAAAUAGAAGUUAAUUUGUAAAUAAGGGUAAUAUAAUAAGAUUAUGUUGCCAUGGGGAUUAUUGACUAUGAAACAGUAGUUGCGUAAGUGGUAUAUAUUUAUUUUAGUAAGGGCAAAAAUUGGCAAUCUCCCUUUUAUUUAAUUAAACAUAACAUAAAAAGAGUAACAUUGUAAUUAACCUGUAUGGUCAGGAUUUCUCUUAUAUUGAGGGAUAAUAAGAAUAUCAAGAUUGUCAUUAGUAAAUGUCAUCAUCAACAGUACUAAGACGAGGAAAUAUUAGGAAGAUCCUCUUCCACCAAUCAUUAUACGUGAAAAAUUCAUAUUAGAAAACUUAAUCAUAAAUACACAUUAAAAUAAGGAUUAAAUAAUAAAGUUCAACUAAAGUUGAUCCUCUCCUUACCUGAACUACUCCUAAGUAGAAAUUGAUGCGCAGAAUUUGAUGAUUAAUAAAUAAAUAAAAAAGAAGUUAAAUCAUAUACAUCCACUAUUAUUAAAUGACAUAUAAUAUAAGAUUAUUAAAGCUCAAGAGAGCUCAGAUAAGGAGAAAAUCCUAAUCUUUCCAUAAUCUUCAAAUCAGAAAAGAUGUCGGCUUCCGGAAUCAAAAUUUCUCAGUAAUUAAAGUUGCUUUUUCGACUUCCUACUUCUGGUUUGAUUAAUAUACAUGUAAUGUAUAUGUAAAGAAUUAAGUAGCCGAGAGUGCGAAGGUGGGUGAUUGGGAAGUAAGUAAUUACAAGAUAAUAUAAUAGCAAUAAUAGACUCUUUUCUUUCACAAUACUAUUAUUUUAAUUUGGAAAAUUUUUUUUUCUGAAACAUUUUUCAGUGCCUAAAAUAUUUUGUAAAUUAAAAGAAAAUUGAAGAUAUAUAAUCGUGACUCAAUAAAUAUAUUUCUUUAAUUUUCGGGCAUUGACAGUUGAAAAUUGAGGUUUUUAUUCUUAAAUUGAAGUUAUUUAUUGUUUCAAUCCAUUAAUUAAUAGAUGCUCUACGUAAUUAUUUACAAAUAAUGGUAAGAUGAUGGGAUCAUAUAUAUAACGAAAGGUUUUUAAUUCCACAUUCAGAGACAAAAUUUUAUAACUUCGCAUUAUUUAACAAAAUAAUUAACAAAUUAAUAGUGAUUAUGGCUAAAGAUUAUGUUGAUUAGCCCAGGCGUACUAAACGGCAUGACUAUUUUAAAGGUUGAAAUUACAAAUUUACAUGCAUUGUGUAUUUUAAUAAAUUAUGAUCCAAGAUCACUUGCUAGCUCCCAGAAUGAGUUAACCAUUGUUUCGAGUUUGUUUUAGUAAAAGAUAAUCCAGAAGAGAAAGCUUAAUUAAGCUAACAAGGAUAGACAAACUUAAUUAAUGUUAACACGUAGACAAGCAACAAUAUUUAUUUAUUUAUUUCCUUUUUCAGGAAUACAUGAUACACGUAAAUAAACAAAUAAAAUCUCUCAUAUAUCUCGAGAGAUUUUAUCAAUUGAAUUGAACCAAACCGACAGUCACAUAAUUGACAGAACGAUAGGUAAAAGUACCCAUCACUUUAUUCAAUUAAACAUAACACAAAAGAGUAACAAUGUAAUUAGCCAGUGUAGUUAGGGUUUCUCCCAUGUUGAGGGAUAACAAGAAGAUCAAGAUUGUCAUUCACAUUGUCAUCAUCAAUAGUACUGAGAAGAGGAAAUAGUAGUAGGAUGAUAAUCUCCGACCAAUUGUUAUUACCUAAAAAUUUCAUAACAGAAAAAUUAAUCAUAAAUAUAGUAAAAUAAGAAUUAUAAAUGAUAUUCAACUGAAAUUAGCCUAAAAACCUGCGCAGGUAGUUUCCAUAAUCUUCAACUGAAAAGAUAUUCACUUCGGAAUCAAAAUUACAACGUAAUGAAGUUGCUUUUGCGAGUUCUUGAUUCUGGUUUGAUAUGAUACGCAUGGGGGGUAUAUAUAGAGAAUGAAGUAAACGAGAGUGCCAAGGUGGGUGGUUGGGGCGUAGGUAAUUCCAAGACAAACUAUUAGCAAUAACAGUCUUUUUUUUUAAAAAAAAGUUAUUAAUUUAAUUUUGAAAAUGUGGCCAGAACUGCAAAAAUGUGGCUGUUUUCAGAAACAAUUUUCAAUGGCUCACAUGAUGGCUACAGUAAUUUGUUUGUAUUUGCUUUGACACGACAAAUAUAUUCCUUUAAUUUGCGGGCAAUAACAGUUUUAGGUGAUUCUAGUAUUAGGUGCUGUAAUAUAUACAUAUGUGUAUAUGUGUGUAUAUAUAUAUAUGUGUGUACAUAUAUCAAAGAUAAGUGAAAUUGUUACCAUAUUAGAGUAAGGGAUAAGGUAAAAAAUUAAAAAGCACAAAUUUCAAUACAAUAGAGUGCAUUUUGUCCUACAGUAUAUUAAAAUUUGUAUAUUUUUUCUUUUACUUUAUUCCUUACUUUUAACAUGGUAAGGUUUUUUUUCAUUUUAAAAUUGCUCUAUAUAGGAAAACUCUCAAGUGCAGAUGCCCGCACAAAUUUUCUUACAGAUUUGGUACUUUAUAAUGAUGUAAAAGUUGUUUUUAUAAAGCUGUGAAAGUUCAAAUGAGAGAGAGAGAGGCCAGACACCAGCACAACAAUUCAUGUAGGUUUGAGACUUCAUAAUGGUUCAAAAGGCCUUCACGCCAUUGUUAGAUCCUGAAUCUGCAUGACGCCCACAAGCAAAAAGGAUUCUGGAUUUAGUAUUGAUCUAGCCCAAAAUCUUGGACUUUGUUAAAGUUCAAAAAAUAUAUUUGGAAAUAAAAUUUAAUAAUAUAAUCAUUAUACUAUUAAAUCAUAUGUCUUAAUAGUUUUAUCCAACUUUAACAAAAUUCAGGAUCUUAAAUUAGAAUAUUUCUAAUAUACAUACAUACAUACAUACAUACAUACAACACACACACACACACAGAUUUUAAAGUGUGGGAAAAAUCGGGAAAACUUUAAAAUCGUGAUGUUUAAUAGUAUUAUGAAAUUAAACUUUGAAAUCGUAAAAUAUUAAUUUUAAAACUUUCUUGUACUUUAAAAUCGUGGAUUGGAAAAUUUCCCUAUAUAUAUAUUCUCCUUUAUUUUCUAUGCAAUAACAGUUUAUCGGCAAUAAUUGUAAUGUUUAUAAUAAAUAUAUAAAUUCAAGUGGCUGACAGUCCAUACCUACUCAUGGAACCUUCCAUGGAUUGGGCUUAUUAAUUUGGGUUUUGAAAAUUUUUAUCUUAGAUCAAGUUUAUGAUUCAACAUCCUUAAAUUACACUUACUUUUACACUAUUUUCUGACCUCUAGAUAUAUAAUUAAUCAAUGGAUAGGAUUAGAUCUAAUUAAUUAUGUUGACUAUAUUUAUAAAUAAUUAAUAAUAUUGAUUUUUGGGCUUAGAUUUUUUUCUCUCCAAUUUACUCGCUCCUUAAUUCAUUUUCUUUAAUCUCUCUUGUCAUCUUCUUCACGGUUUAACAGUAUAACAAAAGCUUGUUGCAGAGAAAAAUAGAAAAAUUAUGAAUUGCUUCAAAAAUGUAUAGUCUUUUAUGCCUUUUUUUGUUUGAAGAAAAAAUAUUCGUUUUCAAUCACUAUUAUUGUAAAAUUGAACACAGUCAAACCUUAGAAGGCAAAAGCGGCAUUUCGUAUGCGAGCUUGUAAAAAGUAAAAUCAGAAAUAUUAUGCUUAAGCAGCCAUUAUUGAUCUAUAAUUUUAGUUGUCUAUGGAAUUGUGGAUCAAUUAAUAUUGGCUUGAAUAAAAAUCAAUGAAUUUUGUUGAAAGAAUUUUUUCCCAUAAGCACACUUGAAGAUCAAUCAUCGCAUAUGUGUUUUAGAAAAUCAAAAAGUUCUUCAACUUCAAGUCAGCUGAUUUUAUUGAAAUUUUAUUACAAAUGCAUGAAAAUAUUGUCAGCAGGUUGGAAGUGAAACAAUUAAUGAGAAGAUGAAACAAAACACAAACUAAGAUAUAAGCAAAAAAUAAUAAUAAUAAUAAAAACUAUGGAGGGAAAGUAAAUAAGUAGGAGAGAGAAAUGUUAAUUAGAAUUACUAAUUAUAUACCGUUAAUAAAUUAUUAUUAAAUAUCUAUGUUACUAAAUCAACCUAAUCCAAGUCACCCAUUAGUUACAAAUUUAAGGACUAAUAAAUGAUGUAAAAAUAAAUGUAAUGUUAAGGGGCCAUUGAUCCUUCCUCAAAUAUAAAAUAAGUGAAUCUGUUACCAUAUCAAAGUAAAGUACAAGUUAAAAGACAAAAAACUAUAUAUUUCAAUAUAAUACCAUGUAUUUUGUCCCUUAGUGUAAUGAAAUCUGUAUUUUUUUUUAUCUUUUACAUUGUCCUAUAUUUGUGAUUAUAGGAAGUAGGCUAGCAUCAAUUGCUCCCGAAUGUGCAUCUUGUGAGUGUGGUGGUUUGGGGUUGAGGAAUUUAUUUAGUCUUAAUUGUGUAGCUUCGCUCACUACUGCCUGGAGUAGUUUCACAACUCACUAAAUCUGAAGCUGAUUUGUUAGAGGUCGCUUGAAGUUGUCUCUUCACUCUUGGAUUCAGACACAUUGUACGUCUUCUAUUGGGAUCGGUUUGAAGAUUGUGAUGCCUCAUUUGAUUGUGGGUUGCCAUUGGUAGAUUGGGAACGGCUUGUCAGUUAAUCUGUGGACAGAUGUGUGGUUUACACAGUCUAUAUCACAAUUUAUCGGCAUUGAUAAUUUAAAUUUGUGUGUGCCAGUGAGCUCUUUAAUUUGGAAUGGCAAAUGAUAGAUCCCUUCUAUGUUUCGUGAGAUGUUCCUCAACUUAUUCAUGAAAUUGUGACCACUCUGUGAGUGCUGAGCUCUAUUUAGAAGAUGCUGCGGCUUAUUUUGAGGAUUUUAAUCAAGUUCAGCCUUGGGGCUCUUUAAUUUGGGUGAUUUAUUCCUUCUCAGUUUUGUUGUGGCCUUUGUUAUAUAAUCGUUUGAAUACACAAGACAAUCUUUGGCGCCGUGGUUUUUUUAUUGUUUCUUGCUGCCCCCUUUGUAAGAAUGUCGCAGAGAUAGCUUCUCAUUUGUUCCUCGGUUGUCCUUAUGCUCAGCAUCUUUGGCGUUGGCUUUUUGUCGCUUUCAGGUGGUGGUUCCCUAUUAUGGUGAUAUUCAGCAGCUUCGAGAUUUGAUCAAAUUUCCUUCCAUUUCUAUUUUUGAUGCUGCUCUUUGGCGUGCUGCCACCUUUACUAUGAUUUAUUAUGUUUGGAUGUCUCGCAAUAAGCUGCUAUUUGAUAAUGAGUCUUGGCCUGUGUAGCGGGAACAAACUUUGGUGAUUCUCAUUUGCAUGUUAUGAAGAAAUUUAUCCCUGGCACAUGUUGAUGUUCUUUACCUAUUCAUGCUCUUUUGCGUAUGCAUGCUUCAAUUUCUCGUCCCCCUAUUAUUGCCACUGUUUUUCAGAAUUCUACUACACCAUUGUGGAUUAAAAUAAAUACUGAUGGUAUGUCAAAGGGAAAUCCAGGCUCUGCGUCUUGUGGAGCUGUUUCCGCGGCUUCAAUGGGGCUUUUCAUGGUGGUUUCUCUAUGCCUUCGAGGGUUCAGACUUCUUUCUUUCCUUUUCUUUUUGUGCUAAAAUUUUAGCUAUUGUGAAAGCACUAGAGAUUGCUGUUGUGAAGGUGUGGACUCAUGUAUAGAAUUUGAAAGUGAUUCUAGUGCUGCUCUUGCUUGCCUUUCGAAAAAAGGGUUUAAGCCGCCUUGGGGACUGCGAAUCCAAUGGCUCAACUGUAUGAAUGUGAUUUGUGGUAUUCACUGUUAUUCUUCUCUUGUCUGUCAUGGAGGUAAUUCAGUAGCAGAUAGUUUAGCUUCCUUGAGACGAUCCGCCAAUCUCUGUUAAAAGUUGUCUUUCUAAAGAUGCUUUGGGGUUGCCUAAAUAUAGGUUUCGGUAGUCUUGCCUAAAUAUAGAUUUUUCAUCGAGCAAUAAAAUUUCUAGAGCCAUUUACAUAAAAAAAAAAAAAAAAGAGGAACCGACAGUGUGAAGUAUGUGGGAAGUCGACGACAGAUCAACGGCUGAUGUUUAAUUUAGAUUAGUGGAAACAUAUUGACGCCUAUGGUUCAAUUGUGAGAAUAACGGGGGAGCUUUGAUUCAUUCAGAUUUGAUAUCUGGUGUGUAAAUUCUAAUGCUAUGGGUGUUAAAGUAUAAGUGUACACAACAAGUAAUAUAAUAAUGAAUAUUCAAGAUCGUCUCUCUAGAUAUUGAUGUUAUCGGAUUUGCUACAGCAAUUCAGAUAAGCAGUUUAGAUUAAAUUAAAAUAAAAUAAUUAAAGAAACUAAUAAGCUAACUAAAUUAAAAAUGAAAUAAAGGGAAUCUUAAAUCAAACACGAAGAUGCAAUCAAUAAUAAAGGAGUAGUUGAGUGAUUAAACUCACUGAAUUGUUUUGAUUAUUUUUCUAAUUAAGAACCUGCUACUACAACAUUUACUACAACACUGAGCAGAAUCCCUCAUGCAUCCUCAGCUGUCGUUUGUUGGAUAUCUUAUAUGCAAUUGAAAUUCCCAUUGGAAGGAGGAAUUGACAUUUAUCGCUUCCUAUUAGAUAUAGCAUUAUGCAUUCUAGAUUCCAAUUACCCUGCAAGGUGAACCUCUAUGUCUAGUUCUUCACUAAUCUUAGAUCAAGUAUGGCUCUAAUCAAAUCGAGAUUAACUCAACUUGGGAAACCCAACCUAAAACCAAAUAUUGUCUUAAUUUGUUCCACUAAGUCAAGCCUUUUUAAGGCUCCUUCUAAGCUAGUAUCCACUGAAUAGGUGAUCAACUGAAAUAGGAAAUUAAAAUUAAUACAAUUAAGAUAAAUUGCUGCAACAAACACAGAGUAACACGCAUAUGUCAGUCAAACAUCCAUUCAGAUCAUUUAUCACUCAACCACAACAAAGUUCAGUUCAUGAUUUGCGAAAAAAAAAUAAAUAAAAGAGUUUUAGCCAUCAAAUACAUUCCCAUGAAUAAAUUAAAAAAAAAAAGAAGAAAAGAACAAGAAGGACGGAUUUUCAAUGGAUCUCUGCUUUUUCUCCUCUAGUGCAGCCUUCGAUCUCUCUCUUGAAUUCUAUUUUUCUUUUGUUUCUUUGUAGUUUUUCUCCUUGGAUGACGACUCUCCUCUUUUCUUUGCGUGUAUGCUCCUUUUAUAGCUUAGAAUUAGGACAACUAGAUGUCUAGGGUGCGUAUUUUCCAUUUUAGGAAACUCUAGAUUACAAUCUUCUAAGUAUCUCGUACAAAAUCUUCUCUGUUAAUGCUCCAGAAUUGCUACAGCAACAAAGCUAUAGCAACAAUGCUAUAGUAAUGGCUUCAGCACCUACACUAUUUUAGACUUGUUUUAAUUCUUCUAUAACCAUGUUUUUUCCUUAUCUUUGCAAGCCUAUUGCAACAACAUUCCUCUCUUGAAAUUUGAGCUUCCGGUUACCUAUAAUUAUGCAUACGAUCUAAGCAUACAAAUUAUUCUAAAACAACAUAAUUUAUUAAAAAUAAACUAAAAUGGAUAUUCAUGCAAAAUAUAACUAAAAUGCACUAAAAACAUGUCAUUUACUCUUUAAGUAAUCUUGAUUUAAAUCUAAAAGUACCAUGAUAACUCUCAUUUCAUAGUGUUAUCGAUAUCCUUUCUAUUAAUUAUCAAAGAAAUACAAUAUCUUUUAAUCACUUCAAGUGAUUCUAGUAUUUAUGUAAUCAAAUUUCGUAUUUAUGACAUUGCCGGUGAUAUUAUUCCCACUUAAUUAAUAAUAACACUAUUCUUUUUUUUUAAGUCAAUGGUAACUGUUAGAAAAGGAAAAUAAUAAUAGUGUUUCAAUUUCCAAAUAAUAUUUUAAUUUUGUACUUCUCAAAAAAGGAAAUCUUAUUUUUAAUUAGAUGAAUGAAUAAAUCACGAAUUCGUAUUAACAGGAUAUGAUCCAUGCUAUUGUUAACUGAACAAAUAAUGGUCAAAAAUAUAUUAACAGUUGUGAAAUGUCGAAUUUUACUUUAUUUCAUUCUGAUGUCACGGGAAAGUAUAUAUACACAAACACACACUCUCUUAGGUGCAGAUGUCCUCAAACUUUCACACGAAUUUAAAAUUUUCCAAUAAUGUGAAAACUCUAUAUACAUAUAUACGUGUAUAUAUAUAUCCAACAAAUAAAUGCCACCUGUCAUACUAUUUACAAAGUGUUCUUCUUGAAAAAAGCCGGUGCCUAUUGGCUUUGUAAAUAGGAUUAAAAGCUUGAACAAGAGCAAUGCUACUAGUCAUGGGAAAAAGGCCCCAAAAAAAUAAUUCAGCAGGUGGCACAAAACCUUUAAAAGCUCUGGUGAGUUAAAAUCAAGAGAAGACCCUUCUCUGACUCCAAACUCUUUAUUAGAGCCAUUACUAAUGAAUUCAAGAUUGUAAUGUCAAAUCUCAGAAAAGGCGUUUAAGGGCUACAGAAAGGCGUCCUCAAUGAAUUCUUAGUUUGGAUAAUUCGGGGAGUGGCUAAUCUGAUUUCAAAAGAAGAAUUAGCCAAUGUUUGCUUUAUUCAUAAUUCUUCAUUUGAUGGUAUUUCGGAACCGAGGGUGGAUUUUGAUUCCAUCCCAAGUGGUGUCGGCAUCGUAUUCAUCUUUCUUCACUAGCGGUCACUGGUAAUCCUACUCCAAAAGUUUGGGCUUUAAUGGAUGAAUCUAUUGCUAAUGAUAGUGUUCUCUCCUGUACUGCUCAACCGGUGACAGAAAAGGUUCAGCUUGAGAAUUGUUGGUGCUGCUUGUCAUUUGUUUAUUCAAGUAUUCUCUUCAUAAAUAGACGCAUCUUACUAGCUGAGCUUCGGGAGAUUCAUGCUAACAAGUCAAUGUGAUUAGCUUAGGCUCUAAUCAAAGGGUGAUUAGAUCUUGCUCUAAUCCAAACAACUCAAUGAGAAGAAUUUUGCUCUAAUCCAAACAAUUCAAUGAGAUUUUUAAUAACGCGUUUAGGCGAGAUUAGAGUGGGAGUUAUAAAAGAGGAGUUUCAUUGGAUAAUUGAAGUUGGGGUUAUUAAAACAAUAAGAGACCUCUCUAUUGUUGCUUCUUAGCUCUUUGUUGAAAGCCCUUUGUAACCAAAAAAAAAAAGAGACUUCUCUAUUUAUAAUACAAGAAACUUACUCCCCUGGAUUAACUUAAAAGGAAAAUUAAAUCACCCUACUAAAGAAAUGAUCUUUACUGACAUUAGAAUAGUGUCAGUAAUUACUUUUAGUGACACUUGCUAAUAAUGUCAGUAAUCUGACAGUCAGAAAAAUAAUGACACUUAUUUUUUGUGUCACAAGUAUAGUAUCAGUGAUUACUAUUAUUAUAGUAUCACCAAAAUCGUGACAUCAUAGUAUCAGAAUAUUACAAUAUUAUAUUAGUGUUUGUUAUUAUUGUUACUAUGGAAUCAAUAUUUUAUUUAUUAUUUAAAAAAUAAAAAUAUAAAAUGGCAUGUUGCCCAUUGAUUUGUUGAUAAAAUUAAAAGGCAAUGAGAAAUAACAACAAAAAUCAAUUUAUAUUGCAAAACCUUUCAUAACAUUUAAAUAUUAUCAAUAUAUAUUACACUAUCUAAAUACUUCAAUACACAAGACGUCUUAUUACAAGACAUCUUAUUCUUUACUCCAUGAACAUAAGUACUGCGAUCAUGCAUUAUUACGGACAGCUUCUUCAUUCGAUGAAUUUGAUGGGUCAGGGAUAUAAGUUGUAGAAGAAACACUUUAAACAUAUUAAUCAUAUCUGCAAAAAAAUAAAAGAAAAAGGAAAAGAAAUUGGUUGCCAAAUUUCAACAGUUGCAAAAUAAAUUAACAAGCAAUACAGAGACAAAAGUUAAUAGAAAUAAACAUAUUUUGCUCGAAAGUAAAAAUAUUCAUAAGCUAUGAACAGAUAAACUCAAUUAUCUUAAGGAAAUUAGAGAACAAGAAUGUUGUAGCUCAUUUGAUUAGAAAUAAGGUAGAAUAUAUUUAACUAUAGAUAUAAAUUAAAAAAAAAGGUGAUAAUGAAUUCAUUCUCUUAUAUAUAUGAAUAAGAGAGAGUGAGAGAGCAAAUUAUAGCAUUCAAGUUUUUAGUAUAACAGCUAGUUUCAAGAAAGUGUGUUUAUUUCUCAUUAUAUAAAAAACAAUGAUUUUCCAGCUAAAAAAAAUUCAUAAUAAAAUUUAAUAUCUAAUACAACAUAGUAUAUUUUCUCAAAAAAAGGCUUGCAAUUAUGUCUUUUAGCCACCAAGCCUAAGUGUGAGAGUAAAGCAUUUAACUCUUGAUAAUUACACACUUUCUGCAUAAUGCAAUUAGUUUCAACUCAUUCCAAAUUACUCUACUAGAAUAAUAAAACAUUUCAGCCAUUAUAUUGAUGGAGCUACUAAUCCAAAAUAUUCACAAUAAAUACAGAGUUCAAGGCAAUUAAGAGAUAUGCCUCUUAAAGCUUUGCAUAUUCUCUCUCUUUCUAAGGCAAUCUCUAAUUCAUAUAGUUCCACCCCCUUUGAAUUCACAAACCUAGACUUUACAAACAAAGGCCUUAUAUCAUUAAUCUUAAUACCUUUUUACCAAAAAUAUCACUAUAUUCAUAAAUAAAAAUCACAAGUUAACACUUUAACCUCAUGUUGGGUUGUCUUACUCUGCACAUGGCAGAGGAAUCUACGAUAAUGUGUAUAUUUUCAUGAGAAGAAAAAGGAACAAAAAAUAGGGAAAGGAAGUCAAGACUAAGAAGUAAUUAUUCAAUAAGCUGAAAAACUAUCAUAUAUCAUGCAUGUUUUAUUGAAACUGAUGAUCAUAUAUACACUCACUCACUCACACACACACACACCACUACACAUGUGUCCAUAAAAACAACUCAUAAAGUUAGAAAAGAACAUACAAUGCAAGCCACGACCACUGCAAUGGUAAAAGAUGAACUUCCUAACCCCUCUUAAAGACCAAUAGUUAUUGUUAGAGGCGACACAGUAGCAAAAUGUGACCAAGGCAUUCCACCCGAAUUAAGCAUCCUUUUAGAAUCCCAUCUCUUUUCUUUAUACCUAAGCAUCUAGCAAAAACAUACAGAAUAAACGUACAAAAUAAUUGAGAUAUUAUUAUUUCAAAAGAACAACUCCUUAAUUACAUUAGCAUACACUAAAUUUCUAUUCAACUAACAUUUAUUAUAUCAUACAUCCAUAAUUCUUUGAAUUAGAGAUUAAUCACAAUGAAAAAGAGGGCAUUUUGCAGUUCCAACCCCCAAUGAAAAGGUCAAUCUAUUUUUUAUUAAAAAAAAUUGAUUUGUUAUGCAGACAAAAUAUCAAAUCAACAAAAUUUGCAAUAUGUAACCAAUCAAAUAAAGAGAAAUGCUGGAAAAAAUUACAAUGAAAAUGGAGACAAUUAAAUGGACAAGAUGAAGAUCUAGAGGAACUAAGCAAAAGUAAAGGCGAGAAAAGUAGAGAUUAGAGGCAGGUUUUUAGGGAAGAACAGCCACGACAAUGAUAGAGUAGAAUCCAAGAACGACUUUGUUUGACCACUCCUCAACAACGUUGCAUCUCCGACUGUAGUCACCUCAUCCAUUAUUUUAAAUUUUUUAAAAUUUUCCUCUCUCUUAUUAGAUGAGACAAUCCCCAACAGUUCGCAAUUUACAGUUCCCAAAGCCACAGCCACAACCACAAUCACAGCCCUCCCUCUCCUCUUUCUCUCUCCAACCAGGAGUGAACAAUGCAAUGAAUUUCCAAUAGGAAAGAGAUUAGAAAGAAAGAAGAAGGAUUUGCCAAGUUGGUGAAUUUAAAUGAUCUAACCAUAAUCCUUUUAAUUUGGUAGAUUUAUGGCAGUCAAAGAUUGAAUUAAUGAAAUAAGAUGAAAGUUUACCUUCCAAGAAAUUUAGAGACCGAAGUAAGAUCAGCAGUGCACACUCGAGCACGGUGAUCAUCAGACUAAAAGGUGGAGAUCUAAAGAGAGUUUUUAGAGCUUUUGGCGUAGCAACAUGGUGGAUAUUCUGUAACACGAUGUAGCUCAUUAGGGUUUUGUAUAGUAUGGGUCUUAGAAUUUGAGCAAUGGUGUUAGGGUUUCAUAUGGCAUCUUGAAUUUGAGAGUCGAAGGAGAGAUUUUCUAGAGGUAUGAAGAAGAAAGAGAUGGUUAGGAGAUGAGGAAGCUGACCCUAGAAUUACAAGUUAGAGAUUUUAGCUUUAUGUUGAUGUUAGGGUUUCUUUUUGCUUUUAUAUUGUUGUUUUUAUAUAUUAAUUUAAUAUAAUAUUUUAAUCAAAUAAUAAAAAAUUUGAUUUGGCUUGAUGGUUUGUUGCUUGAACAUUAAAAGCCAUGGUUUUGAUGUCCUGGGUUCGAGUAUAGGGAUGACAAAAUAACCCGGACCUGGAUGAACCCGGAUAAUCCGGGCCGGGUUAAACCCGUACCGGAGUGCAAAAAAUCUGGAUCCAGAAUGGAUUUUAAUAACCAGGAUGGAUCCAAGUCCGAAUCUGAAUUUAGGGUAACCCGUAUAUCCGGAACCCGAGUAUAGGGAUGACAAAAUAACCCGGACCUGGAUGAACCCGGAUAAUCCGGGCCGGGUUAAACCCGUACCGGAGUGCAAAAAAUCUGGAUCCAGAAUGGAUUUUAAUAACCAGGAUGGAUCCAAGUCCGAAUCUGAAUUUAGGGUAACCCGUAUAUCCGGAACCCGCACUCGGAUAUCUAUUUUUUUAUAUAUUAUUUUUAAUUAUAUUUAUUAGUUAAUAUAAAUACAAAUAUAAAAAAAAAACCCCUAAUUCUAUUUCUAUCUUUCUACCAGUUUCACUAUGCUAGGAAGUUUAAUGAAAGUGAAGGAGGGUAUGAAGACGAACAGAAAAAAACAGCUCUCUAGCAACUUGCGGUAACGAUUGAAGAAAAGGAAAACAAAACAAUGAUUGAAGAGUUAACGUCCGUUUGUUAAUUAAUUUGUUAAUUUUAGAAUUUUAGAUCGCCCGAAAUGAUAAGUUUUUAUGUUUAUGAAUUGAUCUAAUUCUAUCCAUAAAAUUAUUUAAUUUCCAUUUAUCGAAAUCUCCUAUAAAUCUUGGGAAAGAUUAGAUGAGUAAUUUCUGGCAGUCUUUGUGCUUGUUUCUCUAACCAGGUUCCCGGCAAUGCUUAAGAAAAUGUACCAAAAUCACAAUCAUCAAAUCAUGUGAUUCCAUCCCUAGAGGCGACUAAAUUUAUCUCAUGUCUCUUCAUUUGGUUUCGUUGUGCCCUAUUGUCAAUGGAGAAACUGAAGCAAUCUUUUUGAUUAAUCAUACUAAUAUCCCAAGUGUGGACGAACAUAGUCCUUAAACAGAUACCUAAUCAUUUGAUUUGAAAAGUUCUCUGUAAGAAAUUGCUGGAAUUUUUCUAUGGGUUCUCAUAAAAUGCAUUUAUAUUUUGGCGGGCUUUAAAAGUGUGCAACAUUUAUUUUAGGCGCCUAAGAUGUGUCAUACUCCGUAUGUUGAUUGUGAUCAAAAUCAUUAGAUGUAUUUUCCUUAAUUCUGAAAAUGCAAGAUAUGAUCCAUUAAUAUGUUCGUAAUUAUUCUUUGUCUUUUGCUUUUCCUGUUAUCUUACGUCCUUGGGAUUUAUGAUUGCCAUGUUUUUGUUAUUUUUUAUUAAAUGUCUGUUGCUAUCACUAUGGAUGAAAUUUUAUAGUCGAAAAUUAACCAAGGAUUUGGUGGUGAAGGUUGGAUUCUCUUUUUAAGUUUUAAUCCAGCACUUCCAUAGUCAACAAAUUCAAAAUAUUAUACACAGGCCAUAAUAAUUUAAUAAAUAAUUAUUAUUUACGAUGAAAACAAAUUAACAGCCAAGUUAUUUUCGUGUUAUCAUUCAUUUUAUAAUACUCACAUAUCGCGUUGUAACAAUUUCGGUGUUACCAACAUGCCAUUGUAUCUAGAGUCUGGAUUGUGUCAAGAUUUGAGUUCAUUAAUAUGGGGGAGCUCUUGAUUAAACCUGAUAUUGAUACAAUUCUACUAAUUAAUACUCGAUAAACUGGUAGCCUCAAUUAAAUAAUAGUUUUUAUUGGUCCUGACUUAUGGUCAACGUGGUAAAUUAAUAAUUCGAUAAAUUUUUAAAAUAAUAAAUUUUACAAAAAAUUCAUAUUUCUCAUCGGACCCAGAUACUAUAUGAAAUAAUAAUGAUCUAGUUUGUACCUAAAUCCAUAUAAAAUGUCUAUGUAGUUCUCAUAAAAUAUGUUCUCAUGACCUAUUGCUAAUAUUGUACUUUUAAAAUAAUUGAUGUUAGUUGUAUUGUAAAAAUAAUCAGCUAUGAAGAAACUCAGUUAGACACUUGGUAAAAAUUUAUUUUAAAAACUACUAUGAGUUUUAAAAGAUGUUAUAUGGGUUUAGUAAAUCUUACUAUUAUACUGUUGUAAGAAUAUAAAUGACUAAAAUAUAUAUAAUGUUGAAUAAAAUUUAUUUUCACAUUUAUAUAUAUGUGUAUGAAUUUUUUUUUAUUGUAUAUAUAAUAAUUGAUAACUAAAAUGAAUAUUUUGUGUUUUUAAUUUUUUUUAUUAUCUCAAUAUAAUUGGUAAUAAUAAUAAUCUUUUUUAAAAUUAAUGAUUUUAUCUUCUAAUUAAUAAACAUAAUUUUGGAUUUUUAUGACAUAUAAAUAUAAGAGGAAAUAUAUGAAAUUAUAUUAAGUAUAAAAGUGAUUCUUAAAAUUAGAUUUGAAAAGUUACUCCUUACCUACUAAAAGUAAUCCCAAAUAGGCCCUCAGUAUUGUUUGUUUCUUCUUGAAAUUGAUUUUGACUUAGACCUCAUAUCUAACUUUUUGUAGUGCAAAAGAAAAUUUUAGUUGGUAUUGUCAUUAGCAACAAGAAAUUAUUUAUUGUUAGUACAACUUUGAGUGCUUAUUUAUAUGGGGAUGGAUUCUAUCGUAGAACUAUCUUUAACAUGAAAAAAUAAAAUCUCUACAAUAAUCCAUAUUACUGGUAUUGUGAGACAACUCUCUAAUAUUUAAAUAAAAUAUAAUAAAUAGAAAUUAAAGUAAAAUUAAUACUCUAAAUGUUUUAUCAUAUUUUAUAAAUAAAGAAUAUCUUCAUAAAUUAAUAAUUGAUCCACUUAUUGAAGUUUGACUGUAUUUUGGUAAUCGCAAAUGUCACAAAUACGAAACUUGUUAACCUAAAAUAUUGUGAUAUUGACUUUGGUUUACAACACCUAAUACGAGACAAACACGUAAAGCAAUAUUGAAAGAGAUUUUAUUUGACUAUUUGCUUAACAAUUACUAUAAAAGGAUAUUAAAUCUGAAUGAACGAAUUAAGAAGCAUAUCUUAAUCUAUGAUUGUAAUCUCGCUGAUUUCAAACUGAUCUUGAAUAACGAUUCAUGCUAGCUGACCGUGAUCGAUCUCGAGCCAAAUACAAUUAAUCUGUUUUAUAUAAAUAUUAUAGUUAUUGCCGACAAACUAUUAUUCCUAGCAAAUUAAAUGCAUACAUAUGUAUCGAGUCAAAGACUAAUACAUUAUCUUCAAUUAUCGUUUAAUUGGUUACAAAUUAUUGUCUCCAUGAGAUGUGGGGAGAUUUGCAAUUUUUUCUAUUGAAAUUAAUAUAUAUGAAACGACCCGCCCCGAAUUUUCAGGAUGAGUCUAUCUAAUCUCACGUAAUCGAAUUAAUAAUAAUUAUGAUAUCUAAGAAUUCUAUAAAAAAUUCGACAGAAUCUCCCCUAUAAAUAAAGAGUAAUGAUAUAGCCACAAACUCUUGUACAAACAUAUUUUGUACAAACUGAUGUGGCAUGAUAAGAUUGGUUGAAUUAAAUAUCACUUGGCCCACAUGAUUUGUUUUUAUUAAUUUAUAUUUUCAUUCAACCAAUGAGUUAAUGCCACGUCAGUUUGUACAAAAUAAGUUUGUACAAGAGUUUGUGGCUGUAUCAUUACUCAUAAAUAAAACAUCCUCAAACCUGCAAUUUACAAAACAAUAUUUCCAAAAUAAUUCAAUAUCUAUCCAUCUUUCAUAACCAACUUUUCAAGUCAACAUACCAAAUAUCACCCAAAUCAUUCUACUAUUAAAAUAUAAUGGUUAUCCUUAAUUACAAAAUAUAACAAAUAAAUACAAUUCACAAUAUCCUAAAUAUCAAAAUAUUAAAUCUACGACUCCUAGCACCAUCACGUGGCCACAAUUUCAAAUCUAACUAUCGUUGCUGGGUCGACUGAUGUACCUGCAAAUCUCCUAUGGGGGGAAAAAUAUAAUAAAAACGGGGUAAGUAUAAAACUCAGUGCGCUCAGUGAGUGGAUAGUAGUUUUUUAAAAAAUAAAUUUAUUUAAAGUGAUUUAAUCUUUCUCAAAUCAAUUUCAUCAAAAUAUCAUAAGAACUUAUAUAAACAUAUUCAAUUCAAAUCAUUCACUGAAAUAACUAUAUUACAUAAAUCUGCAUAAAAUUAAUGAAAUCAUAAUACUUAUAAUAUCAAAUACUGAAUAAUAAAAACUAUCAUCAAACAAGUACCCAGGGGAAUGAUCUCAUCAUAUCCGGACCUCGACGGACGGGCAAUGAAGGAAUCAUCAUGCCCCGGAGCUACAACGGAUAGAUGGGGAAAUCUCAUCUCAUAUCUCAUGUGUCUCAACAUUUGUAUCUCUGUAAUCAUUAUAUUGCAUGCAUAAGCCCCCAAAAGGCAAAAGCGCCCAAACACAUGGCCCAAAGCCUCUAUGUGUGUUCAGACGGGCCCGAAAGGCUGUUAGCCUAAAGGGCUAUACAUAAUGUAAUUUUGAUGAUAACAAACAUAUGUAUUAAAUGAUUUAAUAGAUAUUGUAUUUCACAUUUUCACUAGUUUUUGAAGGGUAAUAUUUAUGCAAGUGAAUCAAGUGAAAUCAAGCUCAAGACUAUGGCGAAAUCAAGAAUAAAGUUUAGAGCUCAACGGACAAAUUAGUGCGAUAAAUUCUUGUAAAGCCGGUAUGAUUUAAUUGAUGCAUGAUUUAGCAUUUGAGAAGCUCAAGAGAUUAAUUUAAUUAAUUACUUUUUAUAAACUAAAAGGUUUUAUUUUUAUAAGAUAAAGUACCUUGUGGUUUUGAGUAAUUUGGACUUAAAUGUAAAGUUUUGAAAUCUUUGAUUUUAAUAAGUAUUAUUAUUAAAUUUCAGAGUUGGACAUUUUUCCAAACAUUUGAAUUUUUUUGAACCAUACUAUAAUUUAUGAAUAUUUUGCACUAAAGUGAAAGGUUUUGAGAACUUUGAAAAAUAUGAGUAUUAUGUUGAAAAGGACCUUUUUGCGAAAGAAUAAUAUCUUUGGGGCCAUAUCAUAAUUUCAUAAAGUUUUGGAAAGACAACUAUUAUUAAGAAAUUCUGAAAUUAGAUCUAUUUGUAAAGUUUUAUGACAUUUCGGGCCGUAGUAUAAUUAUAAAAAGUUUUGGACUAAAGUGUAAUUUUAAUGAACAGUGUUACUGUAGUAAAAUUAAAAAAAUAACGGUAAUAUCACUGUUCAUGAGCGGCUAGCCGCGUAAAUCAAGGGGCUAACCGCUUAGGCGCUGGAAUUUGCCUAUAACAGCUAGUUUUCGGGCUUUAACUAUAAAAACUUAACUCCAACUUCAUUUUAAGAACUAAUACAAGCAUAAACAAUAUCAUAUAACAUAUAUUGAGCUUCCAUUUCGCAAAUAAUCAUUUAUUGAAUUAUCAUUGAGCUAUAAUUUGUUAUCUACUCUUAAAGAGAGUUUUAUUGUUGUGAUUUUCAUUUCUCAUCAAAUUGUGAGUGUACAAGUGUGAGAAACACUUGGGGUGAAGAGAUUGGGGAGAUAAUCUAUUGUUGUAAAGGUCAAUUGAUAUCUUGGAAGUCAAUUGUAAACAUUUGAAGCUUUGGGAGGCUUGGAUAGUGAAAUCCUCAAGCCGGGUGUGCUUGGAGGCGUGGACGUAGGCGGGGAUAGCCGAAUCAAGUAAAAAUCAUUGUGUUUGUUUUCUCUUCCCUUACUCUUUUAAUAUUAUGCUUGAUUGAAUUUAUUGUUUUUAAUUUGAUUAAGGCAAUAGAUUAAAUUGUUGUGCGAAUUGUAUUGCAUAAUUUUAAAAUCCCAAUUCACCCCCCCUCUUGGGUUACAUAACUUAUAUUUCAAAGGCCUCUAUCUCAUCUCAUCUGUAUCACUGUAUUCAUCUCAUAUAAUCUGUAUCUCUGUAUCUGAAGGGGAAGGGUAUUGUCCAAUGAUUUUCCAAACAACAUUUUAUACACAUGUACAUAAACAUAUAAUCACAUUUGAAAUCUCAUUUUCUUUUUAUUCAACAUAUCUCAAAAUCCACUCAAUUCUAAUAUCAUGCAUUUACUCAAAAACGAUAAUAAAAUCAUUAAUCAAACUCAUUCUUAAUAACAAUAAAUAUCAACACAGAUAAAAAUCAGUUUUCUAGAAAAUCAUUAAAUCGAAGCAUCAAAUACUUAUUUAUCAAAACAUACUGCAUUGUAUCAUAAAAUCAGCAUAUACUAUGAAAAUAAGUUUUGUAUAUUCCACUCACGGUGACGAAGUCCAGACUCGGUAUCAACAACGUCUGCGGGUUGAUUCUCGUUCGCGGAUCCUUCUAAUCAAGGAAACAACAUAAUCAUUCUCCGUAAAUUUGAAAUACAACUAAUUUUACAUAAUAAUUCUCGAAAAAAAUAUCUAUCAACAAUAAACUAUUCCCGCAUGCACAAAAUUACCAAAAUACCCCUACAUGUCAAAAUUACCAAAAUGCCCCAACAUCAUUAUUUUACCAAAUUAUUCUCAGAAUCUUCAAUUACUAAAUUGUCCUCAAUUCAGACCACGAAAUUACCAUAAUGUCAGAAAUUAUGAAAUUACCCUCAAAAUCUCAAAUUACCUCACUGCCCUAACCUAAAAUUACCAAAUUAUCCACUGAUUCAACAAAUUAUAAUUUCACCCUAAAGUUUUAUGAAUUUACCGAAUCGCCCUACUGUCAACGAUGACUGGACUUCAGUCAACGACGACGGGAAGCUUAGGUCUGAUAGUUCAGACCUCGGUGAGUCCAACGGUGCCGGCGGUGACCUCCCAUGCGCGACAAUGGCGGCGGAUCGUGCUCCCAAAGCCGCGAGGUUUCCAAGUGGCCGAUCGUCGACAAUCCGGCCGUUUCAGGUGACAAGGUUGGUCGGAAAAUAAUGCUGGUGACGUGAGGAGUAGAACCCAGCUGGAGGCGUGCCCAAAUGCCGGCGAAAUCGACGGCGAUGGCAAUGGGUUUUUGGCUGUGAAUUUUCGAGCUUCAAACGGCGGAAUAGCGAGGUGGCCGGAAUAGCGAGCUCCGUUCGGGUCAAGGUUACAGGUCGGGUCGGAUUCGCGGGUCAAACCGGAUCAAUUCUCUUUCCCUCUCUCUCUCUCACGUGCCCCUCUCUCUUUCCUUUUUUGGAAACCAGCUUCCCACUUUCCAUUUAUCGAAACUGGCUUCUUCUUUUUUUUUUUUUUUUGCACUUAAGCUGAAUACAAAUUAAGCUAAUACCGGACCCGUGACGAAAAUAAAAUCCGACUACCCGAGUUUUUUAAUCGCGCUCAAUUUAUCUUGAUUUAAUGUUGUGACAAUUUUAAAAUUAAUAUCAAAGAGGAAAAAUUAAAUCAUACACUUAAUUAGGAAAAAUCAAAGUGCAUAUGUUACAAUAUACCACUUACCUGCUAUUAUUUUCAUGAUCGUCAAUACCGGACAACAUAAUUUUAUGGUAUUUCCCUUAUGUUCAUAUACACUUUUAUUUUAUAUUUAUCAUAAAUUAAAUAACUCAUAUAAAUGGAAAUUAAAUAAAAAGUUUUAAGUAUUAAAAAUAAGAAAUAUAUGUUCAAUGUGAAUAAAAAUUAAUAAUAGGAUAUUUUUCUUAUACUUUUUUUAUUUUUUUCAUUUCUUCAUGCUAGAAGAAAUUAAAAAUCAAAAGUCUUCAUGCUAGAAUAAUUUUUUUCUUCUUUUUUUCCUUAAUAAAGUUGCAUGGAGAAAAAUGUGAUGGUUUUCUAGAAGCCAAUCAUUUUUUCAAAUUUGUUGAUUUUGACCAAGCCACCAACCUUGCUUUUUGAAAUUGGCAAACCCACCAACUUUGCCUUUUGAAUUUGGCAAGCCGACCAAAUAUGUUUCUUUGAAAUUGGCUUUGAAAUUGGCAAGCCAUUAUUUGACUUUUCAACACAAGAUACUGUAAUAGGAAAGACGAGAUGUUGGAAAUCAUUUUGCUAUGGCGUACAAACUACCAUAUUUGUUGCUUGUGACUUGUCCUUAUCAGCCCCCCUCAAGCUAGGCAGUCACAUGCGAUGAACGCUUAGCUUGGUUCGUAGCGUAAGAAAUUGAUGCUUCCCCAUAGGUUUUGCAAGAGUGUUUGCAAUCUGAAGAUGAGAAGGCACAUAUCGUGUAAAUAAUGACCAUUUAGCAACCUUUUCACGAACAAAAUGCACGUCAAGCUCAAUAUGUUUCACUCUAGCAUGAAACACUGUUUUCUUAGUCGUAUGGACUGCACUCAUAUUUUCAUAGAGAAUUGUGGGUGCUUUCGGAACACAUAACCGAAUGUCGUUAAGUAGAUAUGUGAGCCAUGUUAACUCGGCAGCGGCAGAGGCCAUGGACCUAUAUUCGGCUUCGACGCUUGAGCGAGAGACUGUGUUGUUUCUUCGAGCUCCAAGAGAUACAAUUGCUUCCAAGAUAAAUGCAGAAUCCUAUUGUACUUCGUCUUGUUAUCGGACAUCCAGCCCAAUCGGAAUCCGAAAAGGCAUAGAGCUUGAGAGAGCUUUGAGACAAAAAUCUAAGGCCAAAGUCAAGGGUACCUUUAAGGUAACGAAGGAUCCUUUUCACUUCUUUGAGAUUGGCUUUGUUGGCGCUUGGAAUUGUUGAUAGACUCGAUUGACAGCGAAUGUGAUAUCGGGCCUUGUGCAAGUGAGAUAUUGAAGGCUUCCAACAAGGCCUCUAUAUUCAGUAGCAUCCACAGGUUCGUCAUUAUCAAUCCUGCAUUCGUGCCUUGGAAAGAAGGUCUUUAGUGUACUUUGCUUGAGAUAGAAAGAUGCCAUGUGUGAAUUGUUGAACUUCAAUGCCUAGGAAGUAAUGUAGGUUGCCAAGAUCUUUUAAAGCAAACUUUGAGCUGAGAUUGUUGAUGAUUGAUUGAAUUUCCUUCUCAUUAUUUCCUGUAAUUAUCACAUCAUCAACAUAAAUUAAUCAAGUAUAAGAAUAGAUUUGUUAUUAAAUAUAAAUAAAGAGAUAUCAACUUUGCUACCAGAAAAUCCAAGAGAAAUUAAGGCUUGAGAAAGACACUCAAACCACACUCUAGGUGCCUAUUUUAGGCCAUAGAGCGAUUUUUGAAGUUUACAAACAUAUGAUGGAUGAUGUGAAUUACAAAACCCGGGAGGCUGCUCCAUGUAGACAGUCUCCUUUAAUAGUCCAUGAAGAAAAGCGUUGCGAACAUCCAGCUGCUUGAUAAGCCAUUUUGAGCUCACAUCAAUUGCGAGGAUAAGGCAAAUAUUUGUGGUCUUUAUAACGAGACUGAAGGUUUCAUUGAAGUCGACUCCAGGAACCUAUGUGACUCCCUUGGCAACUAAAACCGCUAGAUUCUCCUUGAAUUGCGUUGAAGGUAGCAUGAAGGUCUCCUUCAAAUGUGUAUAGCUUCCCUUGCUUACUCCCCUUUGCUAGAACCUUAUUUUCCUUGCUCUUCACAAUAAAACCAUCAGUGUUAAAUUCAAAAACACAUUUAAUAUCGUCAAUGAGUUGUCCAACUGAUAAGAGAUUAUUUUUCAAUUUUGGAACAACUAAAAUAUUAUUUAAAUGUAAAGAAUCGGGAUUUGUAUUUAAUGAAGCAGAACCAAUAUGUGAAAUAUUCAAAUCUUGACCGUUGCCUACAAUUAUUUUGUCAUUACCUCUAUACGGACUUACAUGAUCAAGAUUACCUAUGUUAUUUGUCAUGUGUGAUGUUGCUCCAGAAUCCUCACAGCACUAUUGAUCAUUAUUUUCUUGAAGAUUCAUGGCAGCUAAGGCCUGUGGAUCCUCUUCAUUGUUAUAGUCGUAUCUGUUCCAACAUUCAGCAGCACUAUGUUUGCGUUUAUGACAUAUUUUGCAAACAAUAACUUCUUCAUCUGAGGUACUGUUUUCUUUAUUUGGUUUUUGAGGCUGCUGUUGUGGUUAACGGUUGUUGCCAUUAUAAUUGUUGUAGUUGUUGGGGUAAUUUCUACCACCUGAGUUGCGUUGAGAUCUUCUGCCCUGGUAUGGAGGUCUUCCAUCGCUUUGAUUUCUGCCUCUUCCAUGUUGACCAAAGAAGGCUUGGUUUUGAUUUGUGCCAAGUCUAGCUUCUUCAUCUUUUUCUACGAUCACAGUAUGUUCAUGCUUUUGGAGAGCAUUGGUGAAUUGUUUAAGGCUGGGAUAUGGAGGUUUAUUGAGCAUUGUAGUUUUGAAGUCAGCAUAUUUGGGACCUAAGGCUCUUGCAAUUUGAAAAAUUUUCUCAUCAUCGUUCAUUGGUUUUCCAAUGGCUGCCAACUUGUCGCUUGUUUGAAAGUUAAGAUUUGCAACUGUAAAGUGUGUUUGGGAACUAAGAAAAUGAAAGGAAUACUCUGAAGUUUUAUUUCAUAUAAUUCUCGAUUACAAACCAAAGUAAAUCAAUAUUAGCUUAUAUACUAAAACUAGAAUAAGAGAGCUAAACUUAUUAAGUAAGCUUAACUACAAAACAGAAUGAAAAGCAUGCUACAACAAACUUGCUGAGCUGGCAAAGCUUCUUAACAGACUCUGCUGAUUUCUGCUUUGACUCACAUGUGCUGACUGAGCUGAUCCUUUGACUGCAGCAUGAGCUUCCUUAACAGCCCCCCUCAAACUCAAGGGGCAUGUUUGCACAUUGAGUUUGGCUCGAAAAUAAUUGAAAUGGAUAAAAGUGAGUGGCUUAGUCAAGAUGUCUGCAAUCUGUUCUUCACUGGGAAUGUAUCUGAUUUCCAGUUCUUUGGCUAAGACUUUAUCUCUAAUGAAGUGCAUGUCUAAUUCAAUAUGUUUUGUUCUUGAAUGAUAGACAGGAUUCUUAGCUAGUUCUAUUGCACUGACAUUAUCACACCAGAUCAUAGGAAGGGAGGAACAUUCAAUACCAAGUUCAUCAAACAGUGACUGAAUCCAUGAGAUUUCUGCACUUGCAGCUGCAAGGGCUCUGUACUCACUCUCUGCACUGGACCUAGCAACCACUGACUGUUUCUUGGAUGACCAAGAUAUCAAGUUACUUCCCAAAUAAAUGCAAUAAGCACCUGUUGAUUUCCUGUCAUCAAUGUCACAAGCCCAAUCUGCAUCAGUGUAACCUGAGAGCUUCAUUUCUCCUUCUGUGGAAAACUUUAAACCAAAAUCUUCAGUCUCCUUUAGAUAUCUAAGAACUCUUUUGCAUGCAAGGAUAUGUUGAAGUGUAGGUGCUGACACAUACUGACUUAGCUUGUGUACUGCAUAAGCUAUUUCUGGUCUUGUUAGGACUAAAUACUGCAACCCUCCAACAAGACUUCUGUAACCAGUAGGAUCUUCAACAUACUGACCCAAAUGACCCUUAGCUUCUUUCUGGAGCUUUACUCCUGUCACCAUUGGAGUGUCACACCCUUUACACUCUAACAUAUCAGCUUUACUCAACAGAUCCCUGAUAUAUUUUCUCUGAGACAGGUAAAUAUUAUCUGCAGCAUAAGAGACUUCUAUACCAAGAAAAUACGACAGUUUCCCCAAGUCUUUCAGAGCAAACACUUGACUGAAUUCCAAAAUAAAUUGCUCCAGCUCAGCACUAUUAGGACCUGUGAUCAGUAUAUCAUCAACAUAUAUCAAAACAAAAAUUAUUGAGCCCUGUUUUCCUUUACAGAACAAGGAUGUAUCAGCUCUUGAUUUUCUGAAUCCCCACUUGAUAACUAGACUAUCUCUCAACUUAUCAUACCAAGCUCUUGGAGCUUGUUUUAAGCCAUAUAAAGCCUUCUUAAGUUUGCAGACAUAGCUAGGCUUCUGCAGAUCAACAAACCCCUCAGGCUGACACAUAUAAACAUCUUCUGUCAACUCCCCAUUUAAGAAUGCAUUAUUUACAUCCACUUGCCUAAUUGUCCAUUUAUGCAUUGCAGCUAAACUCAACACAAUUCUCACUGUAGAAGAUUUCACAACAGGACUGAAUGUUUCAAAAUAAUCUACACCCUCUGUUUGUUGAAAACCUUUUGCAACUAACCGAGCUUUAUACUUAGCUAUGCUUCCAUCACUGUUUUGUUUGACUCUAAACACCCACUUAUUGCCUACAACUUUGUGUUCAGAUGAAGAUGGAACUAAUAACCAAGUCUCAUUCCUGAUUAGAGCCUCAUACUCAUCACUCAUGGCUUGAUGCCAGUUCUUAUCACUGAGAGCUUCUUGGACUGUAUCAGGUUCUUUAUUGACUAAAGCUGCUGUAUAUAAUUUUGGCUUGAAGAUACCAGAUUUGGAUCUGGUAAUCAUUUGGUGAAAAGGUUUCUGAGUCUGGUUUGUGUUUAAGGCAUCAGGGAUAGUAUUUGUGGCUCAAACUGNNNNNNNNNNNNNNNNNNNNNNNNNNNNNNNNNNNNNNNNNNNNNNNNNNNNNNNNNNNNNNNNNNNNNNNNNNNNNNNNNNNNNNNNNNNNNNNNNNNNNNNNNNNNNNNNNNNNNNNNNNNNNNNNNNNNNNNNNNNNNNNNNNNNNNNNNNNNNNNNNNNNNNNNNNNNNNNNNNNNNNNNNNNNNNNNNNNNNNNNNNNNNNNNNNNNNNNNNNNNNNNNNNNNNNNNNNNNNNNNNNNNNNNNNNNNNNNNNNNNNNNNNNNNNNNNNNNNNNNNNNNNNNNNNNNNNNNNNNNNNNNNNNNNNNNNNNNNNNNNNNNNNNNNNNNNNNNNNNNNNNNNNNNNNNNNNNNNNNNNNNNNNNNNNNNNNNNNNNNNNNNNNNNNNNNNNNNNNNNNNNNNNNNNNNNNNNNNNNNNNNNNNNNNNNNNNNNNNNNNNNNNNNNNNNNNNNNNNNNNNNNNNNNNNNNNNNNNNNNNNNNNNNNNNNNNNNNNNNNNNNNNNNNNNNNNNNNNNNNNNNNNNNNNNNNNNNNNNNNNNNNNNNNNNNNNNNNNNNNNNNNNNNNNNNNNNNNNNNNNNNNNNNNNNNNNNNNNNNNNNNNNNNNNNNNNNNNNNNNNNNNNNNNNNNNNNNNNNNNNNNNNNNNNNNNNNNNNNNNNNNNNNNNNNNNNNNNNNNNNNNNNNNNNNNNNNNNNNNNNNNNNNNNNNNNNNNNNNNNNNNNNNNNNNNNNNNNNNNNNNNNNNNNNNNNNNNNNNNNNNNNNNNNNNNNNNNNNNNNNNNNNNNNNNNNNNNNNNNNNNNNNNNNNNNNNNNNNNNNNNNNNNNNNNNNNNNNNNNNNNNNNNNNNNNNNNNNNNNNNNNNNNNNNNNNNNNNNNNNNNNNNNNNNNNNNNNNNNNNNNNNNNNNNNNNNNNNNNNNNNNNNNNNNNNNNNNNNNNNNNNNNNNNNNNNNNNNNNNNNNNNNNNNNNNNNNNNNNNNNNNNNNNNNNNNNNNNNNNNNNNNNNNNNNNNNNNNNNNNNNNNNNNNNNNNNNNNNNNNNNNNNNNNNNNNNNNNNNNNNNNNNNNNNNNNNNNNNNNNNNNNNNNNNNNNNNNNNNNNNNNNNNNNNNNNNNNNNNNNNNNNNNNNNNNNNNNNNNNNNNNNNNNNNNNNNNNNNNNNNNNNNNNNNNNNNNNNNNNNNNNNNNNNNNNNNNNNNNNNNNNNNNNNNNNNNNNNNNNNNNNNNNNNNNNNNNNNNNNNNNNNNNNNNNNNNNNNNNNNNNNNNNNNNNNNNNNNNNNNNNNNNNNNNNNNNNNNNNNNNNNNNNNNNNNNNNNNNNNNNNNNNNNNNNNNNNNNNNNNNNNNNNNNNNNNNNNNNNNNNNNNNNNNNNNNNNNNNNNNNNNNNNNNNNNNNNNNNNNNNNNNNNNNNNNNNNNNNNNNNNNNNNNNNNNNNNNNNNNNNNNNNNNNNNNNNNNNNNNNNNNNNNNNNNNNNNNNNNNNNNNNNNNNNNNNNNNNNNNNNNNNNNNNNNNNNNNNNNNNNNNNNNNNNAGGAAAUCAACUUAUGCUUGUUAAAUCCCUCAAAUAUGGAUAACAAAGGCAACCUUUACAUUUUAAGAAGCUGUAAUCUGGUUUGUGUUUAAAUAAUUUCUCAUAGGGAGACACAAACUUUAGCACAGGGGUAGGCAAUCUAUUUAUGUGAUAAACUGCAGUGUGAAUAGCAUCCCACCAAAACCUAAAGGGCAGAUCAGCUUGAGCUAAUAAUGUCAAUCCCAAUUCUACUAUAUGUCUAUGCUUUCUCUCAACCAAACCAUUCUGAUGGUGAGUAUAUGGACAUGAAUGUCGAAAUAUGAUCCCAUUUUGAUUCAAGAAAUCAGUGAACACUCUAUAUUCUCCCCCCCAGUCAGAUUGCAACAUCUUGACUUUAGCACUGAACUGGUUUUCUACUUGGAGUUUAAAAAGUUUAAAGACUGCAAAAGCAUCUGACUUAAGCUUGAGAGGGUAAAUCCAAGUGUAUCUACUGUAGUCAUCCACAAAACUGAUAUAAUAUUUGUACCCAUUCCUAGAAACAGUAGGUGAAGGCCCCCAAAUGUCAGUAUAUACCAGUUCCAGAACUUGUGUACUUAAAUUUUCUCAUCAUCGUUCAUUGGUUUUCCAAUGGCUGCCAACUUGUCGCUGAGGCCCUUGAAUUUCUUAAGAAAUUCAUCAAGCUUGGAAGAUCCUUUCUUUAGAGAAUAAAGGCUAUCUUUUAGCCAUGUUUCUUACUCCUUAGUUGCAGGCAGCAUGAUCUCUUCAACAGUGAGCCAGAUUUCUUGGGCUGUCUGCAAGCCGAUAACCAUGCUCAACACGUCUUCAUUCAUCAUACUUCUAAGCCAAGUUAUGAGAAGUCCAUCAUUAUUUUUCCACAUGAGAAAAUCUAGAUUAUUUAUCUCCUUCCCCUCUUGCUCUAUCAUCUUCCGUGGAGUCUUAACAUCAACUAUAUGGUGAUUUAGCCCAAGGGUAAAUAUAAGUGGUUGAACCUGAGAACUCCAAAGAAGAUAAUUUUCGGUGUUGAGUUUGAUUGGAACAAAACUCGAACACUGAUGGAAAGAUUGAAGGGAUAGGGAUGGUUAUGAAUUUGAACUUGAAGCCAUGAGGCUCUGAUACCAUAAAAAUAAUUGAGAUGCUUAAAUAUGGUGAAAAUAGUAAUUGUUUUUGUCUCUUAAUUCAAUUGCUUGAAGUUUACAAAUAUAUAAAGACGUUUAAGAUGCUGUAAAAGGAAGGACAAUAUUUAUAAUAAUUAUAAUAAUCAACUAGCCGUUGUGAUGAAUCCACCAUGACAUAUGCUGCUAUAUUUUGCAUUCAUUAUGGCUUAGACGAGAUGUUGGAAUUCCUUUUGCUAUGGCUGUACAAACUACGAUAUUUGUGCUUGUGACUUGUCCUUAUCAAUCGCUACAGUAAGUUGUAAAUUAAUAUAUACAAUAUAGUCUUUGACCCGACAUAUAUAUUCCCUUGAUUUGCGGACAAUAAAAGUUUUAAGUUAUUCUAGUAUUACGUGUCGUAAUAUAUAUGUAUAUUGGAAAAUUUUCCAAUUCACGGUCUUAAAGUGUGGAAAAGUCUAAGAAAUAUUUAAAAUUGUGUAGUUUUAAAGUUUAAUUUCAUAAUGUUAUUAAACCUAAUGGUUUUAAAACUUUCCUGAAUUUUCAAAUACUUUAAAAUUUCAAACAAAAAAACUACUACAUACAUACAUACAUACAUACAUAUAUGUAUACACACACACAUAUAUAUAUGUCUAUAUAUAUGUAUGGAUGUAUGCAUAUAUAUAUAUAUAUAUAUAUAUAUAUAUAUGCAGGGAAAGGAUUAGUGGCUCCUUAAAAUUACACUUAUUCUUAACACUAUUUUUUGACCUUGGAAUAGGAUUGGAUGUAACUAAUUAUAUUGACUAUAUUUAUAAGUAAUUGAUAAUAUAUAUUUUUUGGCUUUGAUUUUCUCCCUCCAGUUUACUCGUUCCUUAAUUCAAUUUCUUUAAUCUCUCUGUCAUCUUCUUCACGGUUUCACAGUAUAACAAAAGCUUGUUGCAAAGAAAAUAGAAAACUGCAGAUUGCUUCAAAAAGCGAUAGUUUUUAUGCUUCUUUUUUGAAAAAAAAAUAUUUAUUUUCAAUCUCUAUUAUUAUAAAAUUAAACACAGUGAAACUUUAGAAGAAAAAGCUUCGUUUCAUAUGCUGGCUUGUAAAUAGUAAAUCACAAAUAUUAUGCACGCUUAAGUAGCCAUUACUGAUCUAUAAUUUUAGUUGUUUGUGGAACUGUGGAUCAAUUAAUAUUGGCUUAAAUAAAAAUCAAUGAUUUUUGUUGAAAAAGUAUUUUCCCAUUAGUACACUUGAAGAUCGAUCAUUGCAUAUGUCUUUCAAUAAAACAAGAAGUUCUUCAACUUCAAGUUAGCUGAUUUUACUAGAAUUCUAUUACUAACGCAUGAAAAUAUUGUCAAUAGUUUGGAAGUGAAACAAUUAAUGAGAAGAUGAAACAAAACACAAAGCAAGAUAUAAGUUAAAGAAUAAAAAAAAAAAAAACUAUGGAUCGAAAGGGAAAAUUCUAUAAUUCUGUAAUGAAGAUUAUAGCAUCAAUACUGUGAUAAACAUAAAUAUUGUAAAUUACGCAUAGAACUACUAAAUUUAAAGUAAAACCAGUAAAUUCAUACAAGAUUAUUGAUUAUUUAAAAAAUUAUCACUAUUUCUACAUAAUUCUAGUGAAAAAUAUUUUAUUUAUUUACAAAAAUAUUUUCAUUUAAUUAAACACAGAAAAAAAAACUCAUUAAUUAAACAAAGAAAUUGUACUAAAAAAAGUAGAAUAAGUUUAUUAAAUUGGUUUAACCAUAAAAUUCUAUAUUUGUUCUAGGACAUUUGUAUACUUUUUUUUCUCAUUUUCUAUAAUAAUAUAUAUUUAUGACACAUGUUACUUAAGCGCAAUUAUUUAUUUUGAUGUGGAUCAAGCAAAAAAAUAAUUAAAAAAUAUUCUUAUAUUACUAGACACAUAUAUGAUAUAUCAAUAAAAUUAGAUAUAAUUUUGAGUAUUAUGCAUACUUCAUGUGGUUUUAAACUUUUUGUUUGUGCUUAGAGACCAUUUAGGAUUGUUCUUGAGGAAGUGUAGAAAGAAGCAAAAUAAACUCAUCUUACAACAACUAUGAAAGAUAUUAAAAUAAUAUUUUUUUCAAAAUCCGAUUUUGAGAAUAAAUUUGAUCUUUAAUAAAACAUCACAUGUAUUACACAAAUGCAAAGCUAGCAUUAUUCAAUUAAAAAAAAUCAAUAAAUAUAUAAGUUAAUAAACAUCUCGUGCCUCGUAAUUUUUAACUACCAAAGACACCUCAAAAUGUUGUCGUUUUAUUCUGCUGAGUUUGAUUCACCAAUAACCUUCACAAUCCAGAAGAACAAGAAAAACAAGUGCUUUUAAUAUAUUUAAUGAUGAUUCAAGGAAGAUUGUUGGUGAUUCUAUCAUUAGACAGGUGGCCAAGGAGAAGACUGUUGGAGGCUUAUGGGAAAAUUUGAAAGUCUUUCCAUGACUAAACCUUGGCAAAUAGACUCUACAUCAAAAAAAGGAUGUUUACUCCAAGAAUGGUUGAGGGGCUUAUCUCCUGAACAACACAUAGUUGAAUUCAAUUAGGUAUAUUAUACCUUGGAAAUAAUUGAUGAAGGAUUAGAUGAUGAGGGUAAAGCUCUUCUUUUAGUUAGUUCCUUGCCUAAGUCAUAUGAAAACUUUGUUAAUGCUUUGAUGUAUGGAAGACAAACCUUGACUCUUGAUGAAGUUAAGGUUGCUCUUAAGUUAAGGUUUCUCUUAACACUAGGGAGUUACAAGGAAAAAAAAUGUUAUAGAGAACGGUACUAGUGAGGGGUUGACACUAAGGGGUUGAUAUGAUAAUAAUGAUGAAAAACAAAAGAAAUAAGGGAAACAUAAGAACAAAUCUAGGGCCUAGAAGUGCUUUCAAUGUUAGAAGAAAGGCUAUUUCAAGAAAGAUUGUCCUGGGAGGAAGAAUAAGCCUAAACAUUUAAAGAAUCAAAGUGGUGAUACAAUUAUAGUGGAAGAGGAAGUAUAUGAGUCAGUAAGUGUAUGUAUAGCAACAAAUAACAACGAAAAAGGUAAAUGGAUCUUGGAUUUAGGAUGCACCAUUCAUAUGAGUCCUUUCAUUGAUUGCUUUAUAGAGUAGCGUGUUCGCAUUAAAAAAAAAUGAGAGCAACCACAUCUCAGAAAGACUGCAUAGACAUGCACUCACACACAUAAUAAUAAUAAUAAUAAUAAUAAUAAUUCUCUGGUGAGGAUAUCCUCAUUUUAACAAAGUGAGAAUAUUAUUAACAGACAAUAAAACACAAUUUCCAAUGUAAUAAAAUUUAUAAUUUUUUUUAUUUUAAUGUGCAGAAUGCCCUCAAUAGAGAAUGACUAUAUAUAUAUAUAUAUAUAUAUAUAUAUAUAUAUAUAUAUAUAUAUAUAUAUAAUGAGGCUAAUGCAAUUUAAUCUAAUCCAGUCUAAUAUUAAUUGUUUGUGUAAUUUAAUUAGCAUAUUAAAUAUAGCCUAAAGAAUUAAAAAAAGCAAAAGUGACUCAAUGUGGCAAACUUGUUUGGUUAAUCAACAACCAAAAAGACUUGGAGAAAAUUGAGAACAAACAAUAGAGAACAAUAUUAGUGGAUUACGGUCUAUGGAUCAUGAUGAAAAGCAUUUUUGUGACCAUACAUGAAGCAACUUAAGGCUUAAGUAUGUUGUCACUAUUUUUUAUAUAUUGCAGAAUACCUAGAAAGCCCUAAGGUGAAGUAAUGAUGGGAAAUAAUGCCAUGUGCAGAGUCACCGAUAUAGGAAAUGUAAGGCUUAUGAUGCAUGAUAAGACCAUGUUGGAGAUUAAAUAUGUCAGGCACGUAUCUAAUUUGAAAAGAAAUUUGAUUUCUUUGGGAAUGUUUGACCAAAUAGUCUAGAGCAAAAGGCUUAAAUCAUAUAACCUAAGGGUAAUGAAUGGCUCUAAAAUUAAAAUAAAAGGUACUAGGAAGAAUAGUGUAUAUGUUCUGGAUAGUGAAGUAAUAGUUGGUGAAUCUAGAAUCACUAUUGAUAGUAAUAUUGAUAAAACCAAACUAUAGCAUCUUAGGCAAGGACAUAUGAAUGAAAGGGAUCUCAAAGAACUUGAAAGACAGUGUGUAUUAGGUAGGGAUAAGAUUGAAAGUAUAGGUUUAUGUAAAGACUAAGUGUUAGGGAAAUCUAAAAGAGCUAGCUUUAAUAGAUUCGUCUAAAAGUAAAAAAAUAUUCUAGACUAUAUACACUCUGACCUUUGAAGACCAGCUUAAGAUCUAUCCUUCAGUGGAAACAAAUACUUUGUGAACUUCACUAAUAACUUUUCAAGAAAAGUCUAGACCUAUGUUUUGAAAAAUAAGGAUCAAGUGUUUGAAAAAUUCAAGGAAUGGAAAAUUUUGGUUGAAAAUCAAGUAAGAAAGAAGGUUAAGAAGUUGAGGAUAGAUAAUAACUUAGAGUUUUCUAAUUAGCAGUUUCGAAGCUAUUGUGCAAAUUAGGGGAUAGCUAGACACAGAACAGUGAGGCUGACACCUCAAAAAAAUUGGCUGGCUAGAAGGAUGAAUAAGACACUUAUAGAGAGGGUAAGAUGUAUGCUCAUUCAAUUUAAGCUAUCGAAGUCACUAUGCGUAAGAGAUUUUGAUUAUAGCAGCCUAUCCAGUGAAUCUAAGUGUCUCAUCAACUAUAAGCUUUUAGAUACCUUUUGAGAUGUAGGUUGGUAAGCUAGUAAGUGUGAAAAACUUAGAGCAUAUAUUCAAGUAAAUCAAGGAAAGCUUACGCCAAGAGCAUUAAAAGGGGUGUUAAUAGGUUAUCCGAAAGGGGUGAAAGGAUAUAAAAUAUAGUACACUAAUCUAAAUCCUCCUAAGUAGUGCACAAUCAGUAGGGAUAUCAUCUUUAAUGGAAGUGAAAUGGCAGUAAAAAAGUAGCCUAUUGAAGUAACAAACAAUAAUAUAAAGCCUUUUGAAAUAUUAGAAUUUGAAGUGGAGCCACCUAAUCAUAGGAACAUUGAAGAAGUUGCAGAUUCUGAAGAUAGUGGUAUCAAUUCAGAUAGAACUCAGGAAUCUCAACAAAAAAAUUCAAUCAGAAUUAUGUCCUUAGGAAUAAAGUUAUAAACUUAUGAGGGAUAGGAAGAAAAGACUUAUAAAGCCACAUAAGAGGUUUGGUAUGCAAAUCUGAUUGCUUUUGCUUUAAUUGCUGCACAUGAUGUUAAUAACUACUAGAAUUAUGGUCAUCUGUGACCAAUAAAUUCAUCGCAGAAAAUAUCAAAUUCGUCACAAAAAAAUAAUUUGCGACUAAAAAAUUAUGGUCGCAAGUUGGCCACAUUAGGUAUAUCGAGGAAAAGUAUUCGCGACCACUUUAUAAGUUGGUCACAGAAAAUAACUUCUCACGAUGAAAAAAAUGGUCGCAAAAUAUAAUUUCACUUUGUCUCCGUUACUUUUUUGCAACCAAUUAUUUUGUCACAGAUUUAGAAUAUUUGCGACCAUACUCAAACUGGUCGUAAAAAAAUUAAAUAUAAUAUUAUGUUUUAAUUAAAAUUUUAUAAAAUUUUAAUUUGUUUAAUUUUUCUUUAAUAAUUAAGACAAUUAUAACCAACGUCAUGAAAGUAGAAAAAUUAAAUUAAAAUUUAUUAUUGAUAAAAAAUACACAAAAAAUUUUAGCAAAUCAAAUUACAUUAUUUAGAACAAUUACAUAAUUGUAACAUUUGGAACAAUUACAUAAUGAUCUUCAAAUAACAUUGUAAUAUGUGGAACGACUAUAUUUAUUCAUAAAUUUCUUGAUUUUCUUCACCUCCUUGCAUCUUGAUUUUCUUCACCUCUUUGUAUAUGAUCUUCAAUAUUUAAUUUCUACAAAAAAAAGCACAAAGGUUUGUUAACUUCUACACAUGAUAAUUAAAUAAAAUUAUGUAACAAAAAAAUAAAAAAGUUUGUAAGGAAAAUAAGCUAGGAAGAUAGAGUGAGAACAAGAGAAUGAGAAUUAUAAGAGUGAGAGAAUUUAGAGAUAAAAAUGAAAGAGAGAAAAAUAAUACAUAUAUAUAUAUAACAUGCUAGCCUUUUGCGACCAUGUUUAAAUUUGGUCACAAAAACUUGUUCAAAUUGAGUUUAAUUGUGUAAGGCGGUUCAAUUUCGGCCAAAAUAUUUCAUUUUUAGCAACCAAAUAAUGAUUGGUCGCAAAAAGUGUUAUAAAUAUCUUUUUAUGAUUUGGUUGGCGGUAGAUUACCCGCCAAAAUCUUUUGACUUUUUGUGACAACUGGAAAGGGGUCGCAAAAAGUAGAUAUUUUGAGACGAAAAUUUGGUUUUGUCCCAAAAACGAAGUUACAUAUUAAUUUUAUCACUUUUGUUUUUGCGACGAUAUCUUGAAGUGGUCACUGAAAGUAUAGAAUUUGCGACAAAAAUGUGUUUGGUUGCAAAUAAAUUAAAAAUAAAUAUAAUUGGCAAAUGCUUUUGCGACGAAAAUUGAGUUUGGUCGCCAAAAGUGAGGUUAUGUGAUGAACUUAAUUUUAGUCACAGAAAAACAAGACAUUUAGCGAUGAGAUCGCCUAUGGUCGUAUAAAGUGACAUUCUGUGACGAAAAUUAUAUCGUCACAGAAAAUAUGGUUGCGAAAGAAUAUAAUUCUUGUAGUGAAUGAUGAAGAACCUAAGACCUUUAAAGAAGCUAUAUAGAGUCCUUUUAAGAAUAAAUGAUAGAAAGUUAUGGAGGAAGAAAUAAACUUUAUGUAUAAGAAUGAAACUUUGGAAUUGGUUAAGAGGCUUGCAAACAAAAGAGUGGUUGGAUGUAAAUGGAUCUUCAAAAUGAAAGAAGGCUUGACUGGAUCUGAACCUAAGAGAUUCAAGGCAAGGUUACUGGCAAAAGGGUAUGCACAAAAGGAAGGGUUAAUUUUAAGGAAGUAUUUUCUCUUGUGGUCAAACAUGCAUCUAUCAGGGUGAUUUUGCCCUUAAGAGCAGUUCAAGACAUGGAGUUGGAUCAACUUAAUGUCAGGACUGCCUUCUUACAUGGUAAACUUCAAGAAGAAAUACUUAUGUCCCAACCUGAAAGGUACAAAGACUUUGAAUAGAAAGAUCAUGUUUGCUUAUUAAAGAAAUCAUUAAAUUGGUUAAAACAAUUCCCGAGGCAAUGGUACCUAAGGUUCGAUGAGUUCAUGGUGUCAAAUGGGCUCAAAAAAUGUAAUUAUGACUGUUGUGUUUACUUUAAAGUAAUGAAAGGCAGUGUUUAUGUGUGCUUGUUAUUAUAUGUUGACGGCAUGUUAUUAGCAAGUAAAGACAGAGAGGUUAUUGAGAAUUUAAAGUUGCUGCUCAAUCCAGAAUUUGACAUGAAGGAUCUGGGCCAAGCUAAAAAAGAUAUUGGGCAUGGAAAUUAAAAAGAACAGGAGGACUAGUUUGCUAUUUCUGUCUCAAGAUAAUUAUUUGAAGAAAAUGUUAGUUACAUAUGAAAUGAUUGACUCUAAUCUAGUUCAGACAUCUUUGGCUUCAUAUUUCAGACUUAAAAGUUCACAGUGUCCAACUGUAGAUGAAGAGAAGCAUGAAGCAUGAAAUGGUCAGAGUUCCCUAUAAAAGUACGGUGGGGUGUUUGAUGUAUGCAAUGGUCUUAACUAGGCCUGAUAUUGCUCCCGCUGUGAAAUGAAUCAUGAGGUAUAUGGAAUCACUUGGGAUGGAGCAUUAGAGGGUUGUGAAAUGGAUUAUAGGGUAUCUUAAUGGCACUUUAAACUGUGGACGGGUAUAUGGGAGAAGUAAAGGUAGAAACGACAGGUUGUGGGGCUAUGUAGACUCAGAUUAUGCUAGUGAUUUGGAUAGAAGAAGGUCGUUGACUAGUUAUGUUUUAUGCUCAAUGGAUUUGUUGUCAAUUGAAAAGCUAUAUUACAACAUGUAGUUGCUCUCUCAACUACUGAAGCUGAGUAUACAGCUGCACCAGAAGCUUCAAAAGAAGCUUUAUGGCUCAAAGGGCUGGUAUAUGAGUUGUGGAUAUACAGAUGUCAGUACUUAUUUUUUGUGAUAGCUCUAGUGCUAUACAUUUGUGCAAGAAUCCAGCACAUCGUGAGAAAACUAAACAUAUAGAUAUCAAGCUACACUUUAUAAGGAAUGAAAUCUCGGCGGCUGCUGUAAAAAUGGUAAAAAUACAUACCCUACAGACAUGCUUACCAAAGUUGUUCCGGUUGCUAAGUUCAAGUUAUGCUUGCCCUGGACUAGCCGGUUUAAGUAACUUAUGAAAUUACUUGAUGUUGGAGAAGGAGCAUGAAUGAGCAGUGUUAAUUUAAGAUGGAGAAUUGUGAAGGUUACUGGUGAAUCAAACUCAGUAGAAUAAAACAGCAGUGUUUUGAGGUGGCUUUGGCAGUUAAAAAUCACCAGACACAGUACAUGAUUCACUUGUAAAUUGUUAGCAUCAAAAUGGUACUCGUUUUGAGUCGUUUGGCAUUUUACUUAAUUGAUGCACGCGGCAGUCAUGUGAUAGGAGUUUAGCUGAGUUCGGUAAAGUCGUUAUCCAUAUGUCAGCGAGCUAAACAAUCUGGGUUAGACGGUGGCUAAUCUCAUUACUCUCUCUUUAAGCCAUUGAUGACUGAAUGAUCUUUAAGCCAUUGAUGACUGAAUGAAAGAAUGCAAAGUACAAGAGAAGAAAAAUGACGAAGAAGAAGAGACCGAAAUGGUGGGUUCACUUAAAUUUGAUUUUUAAACAACACCCCCAUUUGAUUUUUUUUGCCUGUAAUUACAGUUUUAUCCUUAAAUUUUGUUUGAAUUUUUCAGCAGUUGUUUCAUAAAAAGCAGUGUCCACCAAUGGCCUUUAUUUCAGACAUGAAAUCAAUUAUCUCAUUUGGAGCUAUAAGAAAAUUGAAAUCUAUGGAUUACAUUUACUCUUGCCAAUACUGUCUUCCACUACGUGAUGGCCCCAUACAAAGAACACUCUUACUCCUUAAUUUAACAUCGUCCACUUUGCUGCAGAUUUCUGUUUUUUUGAGAUCUUCCUCUUUGGAGUUCUCGAAUCCUCCUUCAUUAAUCAAAUUCGAGCAUUUCAUCGUCUUGGCGACCAACUAUUAAAGCUCAAGAGAGCUCAAAUAAGGAGAAAAUCAUAAUCUUUCCAUAAUCUUCAAAUCAGAAAAGAUAUCAGCUUCCGGAAUCAAAAUUUCUAAGUAAUUAAAGUUGCUUUUUCGACUUCCUGCUUCUGGUUUGAUUAAUAUUCAUGUAAUGUAUAUGUAAAGAAUUAAGUAGCCGAGAGUGCGAAGGUGGGUGAUUGGGGAGUAAGUAAUUACAAGAUAAUAUAAUAAUAAAAAUAGACUCUUUUCUUUCAAAAUAUUAUUGUUUUAAUUUGGAAAUUUUGUUAUUUUUCUGAAACAUUUUUCAGUGCCUAAAAUAUUUUGUAAAUUAAAAUAAAAUUGAAGAUAUAUAAUCUUGACUCAAUAAAUAUAUUUCUUUAAUUUCCGGGCAUUGACAGUUUAAAAUUGAGGUUUUUAUUCUUAAAUUGAAGUUAUAUAUUGUUUCAAUCCAUUAAUUAAUAGAUGCUCUACGUAAUUAUUUACAAAUAAUGGUAAGAUGGGAUCAUAUAUAUAACGAAAGGUUUUUAACUCCACAUUCAGAGACAAAAUUUUGUAACUUCGCAUUAUUUAACAAAAUAAUUAACAAAUUAAUAGUGAUUAUGGCUGAAGAUUAUGUUGAUUAGCCCAAGCGUACUAAACGGCAUGACUAUUUUAAAGGGUGAAAUUAUAAAUUUACAUGCAUUGUGUAUUUUAAUAAAUUAUGAUCCCAGAUCACUUGCUAGCUCCAAGAAUUAGUUAACCAUUAUUUGGAGUUUGUUUUAGUAAAAGAUAAUCAAGAAGACAAAGCUUAAUUAAGCUAACAAGGAUAGACAAACUUAAUUAAUGUUAACACAUAGACAAGCAACAAUAUUUAUUUAUUUAUUUCCUUUUUCAGGAAUACAUGAUACACAUAAAUAAACAAAUAAAAUCUCUUAUAUAUCUCGAGAGAUUUUAUCAGUUGAAUUGAACCAAACAGACAAUCACAUAAUUGGUAGAACGAUAGGUAAAAGUACCCAUCACUUUAUUCAAUUAAACAUAACACAAAAGAGUAACAAUGUAAUUAACCAGUGUAGUUAGGGUUUCUCCCAUAUUGAGGGACAACAAGAAGAUCAAGAUUGUCAUUCACAUUGUCAUCAUCAGUAGUACUGAGAAGAGGAAAUAGUAGUAGGAUGAUAAUCUCCGACCAAUUGUUAUUACCUAAA
rnacentral:lncRNA from 1 species